AAGAGAGAUGUGAUUGACUAUUGAAUUAAAGUUAGAACUUUGCCAAUAUUUGAAAUUUUCUUUGAGCUAUAUAAUUUAUGCAAUCUUUGAGGCUAUCUUCAUGUUUUGUUUAAAGCUUAUUGCUCUUUUCAUUUUAUUUUUAUUUUAAUUCUUCGAAAAAUGAUGUUUGUGGGUAUCAUCACUGAAGCCCUCACGAGACUAUAACUCGUCCACUAGGGCCGCCUAGGGUUUAAAGGCUUGUUGCAUACGCUAAAUGCAAUCGCGAUUAUCUGCGAAAGUGGUUUAGUUAGGAUUUAUUUUUGUUUUUAGUUUUAGUUUUGCUCGAGGACUAGCAAAAUCUAAGUUUGGGGGUAUUUGAUGAGCAUAAUUUAUAUACAUAUUUUACUCUUAAUUAUAUAAUUGCCAGUUAUAUUUAUUUGUUAUUUUUAAUUAAUUGAAUUGUUUUAUUGAAUAGGGAAUUAAUUAGAGAUUAUGGAUAAAAAGAGCAUAAAGAAAUUCAAUUUGUGAGCAUUAAAGAUUAAUUAACUUUGGAAGCAAUUAUGCUUAUAUGCAUGUUAAUUCAAGCCAAGGAAACCGAAUUCAACAAAUUCAUUUACCCAUGCACAUGCGGACAAAGAAGAUAAAGGGGUGGAAAGCAAUAGAAAGGGACCCGCACUUGACUUUCAUGAGUGGAAAAGGAAUGAAAAUUCUUUUUGGAGUACACGUGAUAGAAGCCAAGACAAGUUAAAAGCUUUGCCAGCACAUGAAGGAUUAAAGGAAGUUUAAUUGGGCUUUGCAAGAGUGGGCUGAUUUUAGCAAUUCACUAGCUAUCAUUAUUUGACAAGGAUUCGGCUAGGGAUUAAAAAUAUAAAAGCCAAACUUUGGCUUGAGAAGGGGAGCCGCCAGGAAGGGAGAGCUGCAGAGUGCAGACGCAAGGCAGAAGAGGGGAGAAAAGAACGAGUGCAGCAGUUCGGCUUUACGGCUGAUUUUAUUUUUUGUGUUGCUCUCAAUUCAAGUAUGUCUAACUAAUUUUCUUAUAUUGAGGUUAAGGAUGAAACUCUAUUCAAUGAAAUAAUUAUCUUUUUAUUUAAUUAAUUUCUUAUAUAUGUUCUUUGAUGAUUAUGAUUUUUAUUUCACAUGAUUAAUUGGAUGUUAAUAAAAUCUUUUCAUCAAUUCUGUCAUGCAUUAUUGAUUGUUAGGAUUAAUAUUUGAUUAAAUCUAUGCUUGGAUUUAUAAAGUUUAUACAUGAUUGUCUUUGAUUUUAUGUCUUUCAUUAAAUUGUUUACAUAGAGUGCUUAGGGAAAUUUUGACUCUUUGUUAUUCAAUAUGUUUACAUGAGAUGCUUAGAUGUCGUAUUAUUAAGCAGAAAAAGAACCUACAUAAGAUUAAUAUUAUUUGGGCUUAACUGUUAUAUCCAUGAGAUGACAUAGAUUGAUUUCGAGUUGUCACUCUAAAAUUGGGGAUCAAUUAAUAUUUAGAUAAUUACUAAUUGAAUAGUGGUGGAUUCCGAAACCUUGGUAAUUUUUAUCUCAUUAAAUUCUCAUUUACUUUAAUUGUUUUCUUAGUUUAAUUAGUUUAAUUUCUCUUAAAACUCAAUUUGCUCAACUAGGUUAGAAUUAAUAUUAAUUUUAGAUUUAAAGUAGACUUUUAAAUUUAUAACAAUUCCUGUGGGAUCGACCUCGUUACCACUAUUCUAUUUCUAGAUUCAUGCACUUGCGAGUAUAUUAAAAUUUUCACAACACAGACAUAUAUUGAAAUGAAAAAUAUGACACAUACAGCUGAUUAUUAGUAGCUUCAGCACCAGCACUUACAGAUUCGAUUUGGGCGAAUAGUUUCGGCGUCAUUGUUCCUUUGUAGUCCCCGCUUCUGAACUUUUCAGGGGUUCCGACAAGUGGAAUCUUCGCAAUCUUGGUCCCAUGGACCCUGUAAAAUUGAAGUGAUGAAUACUCCCAAGUUAAAUGAAAACUGGUUGUUGUAAAAUAUGUAUGUACUGGAUUGAUUAUACGAGAACACACAGAAUGAAGUGAUGAAUACUCCCAAGUUUUUCUUAAACCGAACUGAUUACUUCACAAAAACUAAAAUAAAUAAAAUUUCAUAAAAAUUUAAUCUAAAUAAAUCAGCUCGAUUCCACUUUACUUCCCCAAAUUAUUGUAUUCAAUUGAAAUAUUUGUUGAAAAGUAUAUUUAGAUUAUCACUGUAGUAUUGCGUGUGUUUAUCAAUUAUAUUUUCAUGAAUAUGUUUUAAAAAUAAUCUAACCAUUAAAACAUAGUUAUGCUGGCAGAUUGAAUUAACCGUAAUUUUUAUCUUUAUUUUAUCUUAUACGUUUACAUUAUUGGUUUCCUGUACUUUAUUGUUAGUGUUUCUUGAAGCGAAAAUCAUAUUUAAAUUAUAAUAAUUUAAUAUAAAUUAUUAGUUUAGUAAAAUUUGGUUUGGGGAUUAAAAGGAAAAAAAUUGGGAGAUCGAAUGACAAAGUUAAUCUCUUAACCAAUAACAAUAACCGUUCAUGCAAUCCUUGAGAAAAUGUAAAAUUAAUUGCUACUUUAAUUAAUGCUUUCGUAAAAUAAAUAAUUAAUGAACAUUAGCAAUUUUUAUAUACACACAUGCUUACAUAGAAACUAAGUGCGGAACCGGACUGGGGCCUGUGGAACACAUCCAAAGGUCAUAAUUUGCUGCACUUAGUGGACAGCACCACGUGUGGCAAAUAAAUAAAUAAACAAAAUAAGGUAAAGGUCAAUCUAACGCCCCAAUCCAAUUCCAGAGCUUAGUUACGGUUCAGAAUACUGGACUGAAAAUUCAUAUAAUAAAUAAUGUAAAUAAUGUAAAUAAUGACAAUAAUAAGUUAAAUGGUAUUUUUGUAAUUUGAAAUAAUUUAUUCCACAUAUUAAUAACAAUACAGUUUAUUCCGAUUCUGAUUCGUACAGUUAAGGUAAAUAAUGAAUUUUGAUUCUCAUUAUAGCCUAUUCCGAUUCAACCCAUUUUUAUUACGAAUUAGUAAACGCAAUAUAUAUAUAUAUAUAGAGGAGCAGACUCCAAUCCAUAUACUUUUCUAGUAUAAAAAACCUUCGGUAUCACUUGUUCUUUUGCGACUUGAUAUGGAAUCCCGCUUGACAACAAUAACAGCCUCCCCUGCUGUGGUUCCGGUGGCCACUCAUUUUCCAUUUGCUUUCUAUGUAGACUCUGCUUUCGUAAGACAGAUUUCACAUCGAUCCCUAGAGGUUAUAAACCUCCCAACUUCGUAACAUUUUCGGGAGAGGUCCGGUCUUCUUUUCUCUUUUGAGUCAGGUUCUUUUCUUAAGACAAGACAGGAAAUCGGGGUUUCUCAAUAUCUCUCUUCUGGCCUAAACUAAGUUAGUUCCAGAUCGAAACUGGACCUGAGAGAGACUAGACUUCUAGUAACACGGCUAAGAAGCAGCAAAGUCCGAUACGGAAUAAAAUCCCCUCUCUUCUUCUCUCUUUGUCCCCCGAACCAAUGAUUUGAUUCAAUGCCCCGGAGCCAGCAACUUUGGAUGGCUCGGCGAUAGCUAUCUUAUAUAUAUAUAUAUAUUUCAAACAGUGAUUGAAAGGAAAACAUUGAUUCGUAUUACCUAAGAUAUUUAAAAGGAGGCCACCACUUUAAAAUUUGGACAGCAAGCGAUAUUCUUCAGCGUUUCAAGUACCGAUCUCCAAGAAUCACUGGCCAUUAACCCCUAGGAAGACCAAAAUGACUUAGAAUUUGUAGAUCUUGAAAUCUUCUUAUUCUCGAGCAAUCGACAUAUGUAAAAAAUUGUAAUUAAUAGUAAAAAAAAUGGUAGUUACGUAAUCAAAGGUAAAAAUUAAGAAAUUAUUUGGUAGCGAUGGAGGUUCCUAAUAAGAUUUAGUGGUCAAAGAAAUUUUUUUUAGAUUGCAAUUCGCUAAGGGUGGAAAAUGAGAAUAAGUAAGAAGGAGUAAGAAAAUAAGAACGAGAAAGUACAAUUAGUAGACGGGUAAGAAGAUAUAGAGGGGAAAGAUAUGAAAGCGAAAGACACGAGGCAAAUAGCGUGAAAAUCGCAAGCGAAAGAAGAAUAUUAUUUUUGGAUUUCUUCCCCUAAGAAUCAUUCGUUUUUCGCUACACACUGUAUUUGAAAAUGUGAUCGCGUUAAAAAAAAUUGUAUAAUAAGAAUUUAUAAAUUUAUUUUGUACAAAUUGAUAUGUUGUAACUAUAUUGUUUAAAGUAAAUUAUGUUUAUAAACUUAUUUUGUACAAAUUGAAAUGAUGUAACUAUAUUGGUUAAAGUAAAUUAUGUGGAACACAACCAAUACAGUCAUGCCUAGUGACAUAGCUAGACUUUACACCCAACAAGGGUAAAUGUAAUUUACAAAAAGAAUUUGAUUUUCCUUUAGUGUUAUUAGAUAAUUUUAGAUUUAAUAUACUCAUUUAAGGUGAUUUUGAUGACGAAAUUAUAAUUUUGAGCCUUUUUUUUACAAUAUUCAAGUUGGUUGGGACAGAUAAAAUUUUUAAUUGAAAUAAAAAAAUAAAUUUUUUAUGAAAAAAUUAGCUCCACUACUAAUCAUGGUACAAUAAUUCGUACAAAAUAAAUUUAUAUAAGAGUUUGUAAUUUAGUCCGUACCAUGAAUAUAUAACCUUAUGAUGGACUAGAACUUGUUUGUUCGUUUAUACUCGUUUAUCUUCAUUAUAGCACUAGGUCUAUAUUAAUUAUAUGAAUUUUAUUACUGAAUUUUAUCUAAAAACUUGAAAUGACAUUUAUGAACAUGACUUUAAGAAGUCACGCUCUAUUUUUCGUAAGUAGCUCGGUUCAUUAGUUUGUAACACUAACUAAUAAGGCCCCCUUAACAUAUUAAAAAAAUUGAUUGUGUUGGAAAAGCUAUUAGCCAGCAACACAAAAUAAAGAAUUAAUACAAGGUAAAGAAUAAAAUGAGAGAGCAAUAUAUUAUAUAUUGAUUUUGUUCAUUCCAAUUGUGUACAAAAUAAAGAGAUAAGCUCUCCUUUUAUAGUUACAUAAUCACUCCAUGAAAUUAAUGGAAACAUUAUGGAUCAUAAUUUCUUAUAAGAUAGUGAGAGUUAUAAAGAAGUUAAAGGUUGCUAGUGGGAGAUAAUAGGGAGAUUAAGAAAUAUAUGUUAUGAACAUCCACAUUUAUUUUAAUAAAUUCAUAAUAGAUUGGCUAUUAUCUUAUAAUGAUAACUAGGUUACAGGCAUUUGGCCAAAUGUUAGAAACAAUGCAAUUUUAAAAAGCCAAUGGGAUCCCCCCCACCCCCCCCCCCCAAAAAAAGCCAAUGGUAAAAAAUCAUUAUCAAUUUUACGUUUUAAACUCCUUAAUCUGUAAUGAAUUUUAAUUUUCCCUCUGUCUGGCGUAAUUAAUUUAAUUAUUAUACGGAUUAAUAUCAAGGUAAUAUUUCCUUUAUGUGUUGUAAAUGAUUUUUCAAUGUUUUGUUUUUUAGUGAUGAUACAGCCACAAACUCUUGUAUAAAUUGAUGUGACAUUAAUUUAUUGGUUGAAUGAAAAUAUAAAAUAAUAUAAAUAAAUCAUGUGGGCCAAGAGAUAUUUAAUUCACCCAAUGAAUUUGUUGUGCAAAUUUUAAUGUACUCGCAAGCGCACGAAUCUAUUGUAGUAUAGACUAAUGGUGACGAGUGUCGAUCCCACGAGGAGGUGGAUUUUAAUUAUAUAUAGAAUUAAUUUUGUAAAUGGGUAGUUGGAUUUAUGGGGGAAAUGAUUUGGAAUAUGCUAAUACUUAAAUUAAAAUGGCGAGAAUAAAUUCUAAAAUUGGAAUUGCAAUGGAGAGAAUAAAUUGAAGAGAAAAUCUAUUAAAUUGACGUACUUGGGUAUCUGGAUCCGUAUCAACAUGCAUCAUGGGCUAAAUAAUCCGUAUUAAUGCCAAUUAAAUCAUGAGGGGGGAAUCCACACCUCAUGAACCACGCUCUAAUCAAUAUGGUGCUAAGGGCUUAUCGUGCCAAAUAAUAAUAACCUUAUACUAGAGAGCCGGUGUAACCAAGGCGGUAUCUAGACAAGACUAUUAUUAUUUGUCGACGAGAAGUCAAAACAUCCACAAAAAUUAAAGGGGAAGAGAAAAUAAAUUUACCAAAUUAAGCCCAUGACACAUGUUGAGACUUCACCUUCAACCCAAGCUUGAAAGAAAAUUAGCCACUCAUAAUUGAACUACGGGCAAAAUGGGAAUUUAUUAAAAUACGAAGAAAAUACAAGAUGGAGAGGGAAUUACAGAAAAUGGAUCCCAAAAAUGGAUUCAGAGAUAUCAAAUUAGGGGGGGGAGGCCCCCUUUUUAUAGAUACAUGGAGUAAAUCAUGGCCAUCGGAUUAAAAACAGUUUGGACGCUCAGGAUUGCGCCACGUCAUCAGUCAACAAUCCACGGUUUGACCACGCGGAUGAACAGUAACACGGUUUGACCCGGAUGAACAGUAACGCGGUUUGGUUGAAAAUAAUCCUGUGUGAUGCAUGCACCGUACGCGAGAUUUUUCGUCCACUGAUAUGCUGCCACGUCACCAUCAACAGUACAUAAGAAUUUUAGUCCAACAGGAUCGUGACACCUCAUCAGUCAAUGCCACAUCAUCGGUCAAUGCCACGUCAUCAUCCGUCUAUGUGAACAGUGUCGUGAACAGUAACGUAUACAGUAUCGUACACGUGAAUAGUACCGUACAUGUGAAUAGUGCCAUUUUUCCUUUUAUGCUCCUCCUAAGGUUUUCGACCGUCCUGAGUUCAAAAGUGAUGUCCGUUUUGCCGUCUGAUCUCUCCUUUAUUGUGAAAUGACUAUAAUGCCCCUAAAAUACAUAAAUUACUUAAUUAAAAUAAAACACACGUAAUUAAAUCAUAAGAAUGUUAAAUACAUAAAAGUAAGGGUUGUUAGUAAGACUUGAAAUGUAAAAUGACAGUUUUCUCCUUUAUAAAUAUGCAUUUUCUAACACUCAACACACCCCCCAACCAGCUUAUUGCUAGUCCCUAGCAAAUAAAGCGAAAACAAAAUUCAAAUUCAAAAUAAUUUUUUUUUUUUGUUUUAAUAGAAACACUCGUAUUUAUUCCAUCAGAUUAAUGAUAGCAAUCAAAUAAAAGUAUAAGCAUUAUCUCCAGUCUAAAGCAACAUCACACCCACAUCAACCAUCCACAUGAAUUAGCCCAGUAGACUUUGUUUUAGCUACUCUCAAGAAUGACAUGUCAAACCCCAAAAUCUCACUGGAAGUAGUGACACUCUCACAAAUAAAUUAAUCCCAAUAAAAAUAGUCACUCCAAUGAAUGGUAAUUGAGAGAGAAAAUAAUAAAGAAGUGAUAUCACAUGCUCUCACCAAGAUGAAAUAAAUAUGCCCUCAGCUUAGAAAUAAUACGAUCUCAAGUCAAAUAAAAUGUUAGUCAACCCACUUUAUUUAUCUUUUUUUUUUUAAUUAUGCAUCACUACAUCUUUUUAGCCCAUAUAACUAGCUUCUACUUCAAACUAUAGUUCCCUAAAAUCAAGAAGGACUUUUAUUAGGACGAAACGUAGGCUAGGGACAUGGCUAACAAAGAAGGAAAAUAAGGAAAACAAAGUGUAUGUUUGAGAAAAAUGCAGAGAAUUUUUUUUUUUUUUUUUGGAAGUUGCAAGGUGGAUUUCACCUAUUUUUAUUCUUUUGAAACAACAACUUUUGUUUUUGUUUUUGUUUUUUUUUUGUUUUUUUUUUUGCUUUUAUUUGGCAUAACUUCACUGAACAAAAUAAUUAUUUACAUUUUCUCAAACAUACAUAGGUGAUGGAACUUAUAAGAUAUCAGGUAAUACUCCAAAUCGGAGUGGGUCAAGAUGAUAAGUUGACAAAGAAAAUGUUUUUUUUUUUUUAAAGGCUCAAAAGGGUUAACUAUGGAUAUUAAAUAAAAGGGAUGGCUUGAAAGGCUCAAACGGAUCAAAGAUGGCCUCUCCAUCGUCUUUUAGGGCUCUAAAUAAUUUUCCAUAUCUACUAGUUAGAUGGGCCUCCAAAUGUAGCAACACACUCUUUUUUUUCUUUUUUUUUUUCUUUUUUUUUUACCAUUUUUUUUUAAAGGGUUAACUCAAAAGAAAUGUAGAGAUCGUGUAUAAAAUAAUAAACUGCUAAGCUGUAUAGAGAAUGGGCAAAAUGGUUACUCUCCAAGAAAAUGAUAGGCUCAACAACUCACUUGGCACUUAUUUAUGACAUGUUCAUUCCUUCAAGCAACUCAUAUUUGUCUCCGACAUCAACAUGUAAAGUAGCAAACAUAGCGUAACAUCACUUAAGACCAAAGAUAAUACAAAUAAUAAAAUUUGAAAUUAAUCAUGUCAUCCAAUGUUAAAACAAAUAACACAAAUUUUUUUUUAACAACAUUCUACCCCCCAACCUAUUCUAAACAUGAAAGAAAAAUAUGCAUGCAGGAAUGUGAAAAUGAUGUAGAAAAAUUUAUUAGAAAUUUUUUUUUUUUUUUUAACUAAGAAGAUGCGUUUCUAGAGGCACUACACUCCAUAUUCAGCCAUCUUUGACUCAAAAGUUGGAAAAUGUAUAUUUAUAGAGGAGAAAUUAAAGAAGAAAAAUAAACAUAAACACAUAAUAAAGAAAAAGAAAAUGUCUGAAAUUAAUUUUUUUUUUUUGAAUUUUUUUUUUUGAACUUGUUUUUAAACAAUGAAGAUGCGUUUCUAGAGUAACUACACUCCAUAUUCAGCCAUCUUCAACACAAAAAGUUAGCAACAGUUAGUUUCUACAACAAAAAAUUAGUAAAAACUUAACCAAAAUUCCACAAUUGUCGACUAUUCCCUCCCCCCAACCAGAAUGAAACAUUGUCCUCAAUGUUUGAAAUGAAAGAAGUAGAGUUUAGAAGACAUCACCUGGGUGGUGCAACACAGAAGAAAAUAUUUACAGGCGGAGAGUUAAAUCUAAUUUGUACUUCUUACUGCGGCUACUGUUACCAUCAUUAUUUGGACGCUCCAACACAAAGGUCCAGGGGUCUGGCUCCGGUCGAUAAGCUUGUAACAUAUCAAGUAGCUCAUUAGCAGUGUGAGCACAAAUAAAGAGUUUUUUCACAUUAGAGGGAAUGAAAUAGUUUUUUAUUGCAUGGUUAAGAAAUGCGAUAAAGCCAUCAUAAAAGUUAUUGACAUUUAACAAACCGAUGGGUUUCUGGUGGAUGUGCAGAUGGGCCCAAGAUGCUAGUGUCAUAAGUGCCUCUAGUGUUGCAAGAUCUCCUGGAAGGAAAACAAAAGCAUCAGCAUGAUUAAGCAUUUCAGUUAUUCUUUCUUGCAUACCUGAGACGAUUAACUCUUCUCCAGUUGAUGAGUCAGACGAACUGCCCAAUGGUUUUAGGACUCUUGGGAUGAUGCCUAACACUUGACUUCCUCUGAUAAAAGCUGCUUCGGAGACCAUUUUUGAUAACCCUCGGUUACCUCCUCCAUACACCAAAUGUAAAUUUCUCGCUGCUAUGCUUCGACCAAGAUCUAUGGCUGCCUCAACGAACUCUUUAUGUUUGCCAUAGGUAAAUCCAGAAAGCACACAAAUGUUCUUGAAUUGUCUAUUGGGAGUAGCUGCCAUUGAAAUAUUUCUCAAAAACAAUUUGUGAGUGUUUGACAAAAGAAAUCACAUUUAAGAGUCUUGGUGAUAGUGGGUCACAGCUGUGAAUGAGGUAACAUGUUAGUGUCAAAUAACGCAUGAAGCACAUGGCUCGCGAGUCAAAAAGAAAACAGUAAAAAGGAAAAAGCAAACAGUAAUAAAAUUAUUAAAGACAAUAAUGCAAACAAUAAAACAACAGUGAAAUGAAAUAAAAUAACAGUAAAGUAAAAGGAUAUUUACACGUAGUUGCGACUGUGGCUCACAUCUUCCUCUGGUUUUACGUCCAGAAACGGCUUGAACGCCCUCUAUGGGUCGAGGAUAGGCUUCCCAUCCAGUUUUCUUAUAAACAGGCAAACAGGGUCGUUUAUAGUCAGAUUCCCGAGACUAUAUCGUGCAUGCUCUUUCUGGAAUAAUGGCCAUAACUGGAGAAUCGCUCCUUGCACAUAUCCACUGGGAUGCGUUUCAAGAGACAAAAGGAUAUCAUCCAAUGACUCCUUAUUCAAGCCAUCCCUAAUGAAUUGAAUCUUAUCUUCCCUGUUAUCAGACAUCAUUCCUAAAGAACAUGGGUUUUUAUUGCAACUCAUUCUGGCACACUUAUGACAAGCAACAGAAAUUCUUCGAGCUCGUCGUUUUCUUGCAUAAUUUCCUUUACCACAACCAGGCAUGUAUGCAAUAAAUUUUGGAGGUAACUCACCUGCCGAUCGUACUUUAGCCUCGAUUAACCAACGGAUGUCAGCAGGUAUGUUAUUUCUCAUGAGUAAUCGCAUGCGUUCGGACCGAGCUUUAUAGAUCGUAAGGAGGGCAUUCUGAGGAAGUGAAGGGAAUCGCUUGUGAAGCUUCGUUAGAAUCUCGUUUCUGUCCAUACCUUCGCCUCAGAAUAUCAGUUAUUAUGGGAAACUGAAGUAACCGACUUGAUUGUCACGGAGUACCGUUAUCCGCCACUUCACCGGGGUNNNNNNNNNNNNNNNNNNNNNNNNNNNNNNNNNNNNNNNNNNNNNNNNNNNNNNNNNNNNNNNNNNNNNNNNNNNNNNNNNNNNNNNNNNNNNNNNNNNNNNNNNNNNNNNNNNNNNNNNNNNNNNNNNNNNNNNNNNNNNNNNNNNNNNNNNNNNNNNNNNNNNNNNNNNNNNNNNNNNNNNNNNNNNNNNNNNNNNNNNNNNNNNNNNNNNNNNNNNNNNNNNNNNNNNNNNNNNNNNNNNNNNNNNNNNNNNNNNNNNNNNNNNNNNNNNNNNNNNNNNNNNNNNNNNNNNNNNNNNNNNNNNNNNNNNNNNNNNNNNNNNNNNNNNNNNNNNNNNNNNNNNNNNNNNNNNNNNNNNNNNNNNNNNNNNNNNNNNNNNNNNNNNNNNNNNNNNNNNNNNNNNNNNNNNNNNNNNNNNNNNNNNNNNNNNNNNNNNNNNNNNNNNNNNNNNNNNNNNNNNNNNNNNNNNNNNNNNNNNNNNNNNNNNNNNNNNNNNNNNNNNNNNNNNNNNNNNNNNNNNNNNNNNNNNNNNNNNNNNNNNNNNNNNNNNNNNNNNNNNNNNNNNNNNNNNNNNNNNNNNNNNNNNNNNNNNNNNNNNNNNNNNNNNNNNNNNNNNNNNNNNNNNNNNNNNNNNNNNNNNNNNNNNNNNNNNNNNNNNNNNNNNNNNNNNNNNNNNNNNNNNNNNNNNNNNNNNNNNNNNNNNNNNNNNNNNNNNNNNNNNNNNNNNNNNNNNNNNNNNNNNNNNNNNNNNNNNNNNNNNNNNNNNNNNNNNNNNNNNNNNNNNNNNNNNNNNNNNNNNNNNNNNNNNNNNNNNNNNNNNNNNNNNNNNNNNNNNNNNNNNNNNNNNNNNNNNNNNNNGCACCACCAUCACUGAUUAUUGCUCGAGGGAAUCCAAAGCGUGAAACAAUGUUGCUUUUCAAAAAUGCUAUCACCACCUUGUGAUCAUUGGUCAUACAUGGAAUUGCUUCUACCCAUUUUGAUACGUAGUCAACAGCAACCAAUAUGUAUUGAUGGCCAAAAGAAGGGGGAAAGGGUCCCAUGAAGUCGAUACCCCAUACGUCAAAAAUCUCAACCACUAAAAUUGGAUUUAGUGGCAUCAUGUUCCUUCGUGUAAUGCUUCCCAUUCGUUGACACCUAUCACAUGAAGAACAGAAAGUGUAAGCGUCUCGAAAUAUAGAUGGCCAAUAGAAACCACAUUGUAAAACUUUAGUCGCUGUCUUCUUAGCACUGAAAUGGCCUCCACAAGCUUGUUCAUGGCAGAAUGAAAGGAUAUUCUGAAUUUCACUUUCUGGGACACAUCGUCUAACAAUUUGAUCCGCACAAUACUUGAACAAAUACGGGUCAUCCCAAAAGAAAUUCUUUAUCUCUGCAAAGAAUUUAGCCUUGUCUUGCUUGGUCCAAUGCUCUGGAAGUUUACCUGUAACAAGAUAAUUCACGAUGUCAGCAUACCACGGUAAUACUUCCACAUUCAUCAAUUGUUCAUCAGGGAAUGACUCAUUUAAUGGUAAUGGCUCUGUAGUUGUGUCAAAAUGGAGACGAGAGAGGUGGUCCGCCACAACAUUUUCUAUCCCUUUCUUAUCUUUGAAUUCCAAGUCAAAUUCCUGCAAAAGUAAUACCCAACGAAUUAGUCUGGCUUUUGCAUCUUUCUUUGUGAGAAGAUAUUUAAGAGCAGCAUGAUCUGUGAAUAUAAUUAUUUUACAACCAAUAAGAUAUGAUCGAAAUUUUUCCAAUGCAAACACUACUGCUAGCAUUUCUUUUUCAGUAGUUGAAUAGUUCAACUGUGCAUCAUUUAAUGUCAUACUAGCAUAGUAAAUAACGUGGGGAAUUCGAUCAACUCUUUGUCCUAAUACUGCUCCUACUGCAUAGUCAGAUGCAUCACACAUGAGCUCAAAUGGUAAGCUCCAGUUCGGGGCCUGAAUGAUGGGUGAUGAUGUCAACAACUGUUUUAAUUUUUCAAACGCCAUAAGACAUGAAUCAUUAAAGAUAAAAGGUACAUCCUUAGCAAGUAAAUUGCAUAAGGGCCUAGAAACUUUGCUAAAAUCUUUAAUGAAACGUCUAUAGAACCCAGCAUGCCCAAGGAAAGAUCUUACUUCUCUGACUGUUUUGGGUGGAGGAAGAUUGGAAAUGAGAUCCACCUUGGCUUUGUCAACCUCAAUACCUUUGCUCGAAAUGAUGUGACCGAGAACAAUACCUUGUUUUACCAUAAAAUGACAUUUCUCCCAAUUUAAGAUCAAGUUCUUCUCGAUACAUCUCUGCAGAACUAGUGUUAGAUGAUGUAAACAUUGAUCAAACGAAUCACCAAAGACAGAAAAGUCAUCCAUAAAGACUUCAAGGAAUCGUUCAACCAUAUCAGAAAAAAUGCUUAACAUGCAUCGUUGAAAUGUAGCAGGUGCAUUACAUAAUCCAAAUGGCAUUCUCCUAUAUGCAAAUGUGCCAAAAGGGCAAGUGAAAGUAGUUUUCUCUUGAUCUUUUGGUGCUAUGGGAAUCUGAUUAUAUCCUGAGUAACCAUCUAGAAAGCAGUAAAAUUCAUGGCCUGCUAAUCUAUCAAGCAUUUGAUCAAUAAAUGGUAAAGGAAAAUGGUCUUUACGUGUGACAGAAUUCAAUUUUCUAUAAUCAAUGCAUACACGCCAUCCUGUAGUCACUCUAGUGGGUAUCAAUUCAUUAUCAGCAUUGGUAACUACUGUGACUCCUGACUUUUUAGGGACAACUUGUACAAGACUGACCCAUGAACUAUCAGAAAUUGGGUAAAUGAUACCUGCAUCUAAUAGCUUAAGGACUUCAGUUCUAACAACUUCUUUCAUGUUAGGAUUUAACCGACGUUGCAUCUCCCUAGUAGUUUUAGCAUUUUCAUCAAGGUGAAUGUAAUGCAUGCAAUCUACUGGGUUUAUACCUUUAAUGUCUGCUAUGGUCCAUCCUAAUGCUCCUUUGUGCUCUUUUAAAACAUCCAACAACUUACCUUUUUGUUCAUCAUUGAGGGAUGAUGAGAUGAUUACCGGCAGAGUACUUUCUUCUCCCAAAAACGCAUAUUCCAAAGUGUUGGGCAAUGGUUUGAGCUCGAGUUUCGGUGGUGAUUCUGAUGAUGGAAUGAGUUGCUUCUCUGAUGGUGCUAGUUGCUCAACUCUUGACUUCCAUUUAUUAGUGUCCAUAGAUGGUGCUGAGUCAAGCAGGGCGUUGACCUCAUCAACUGAUCUGUCAAUAUCAAAAUCAAAACCAAAGUGAGUUAAACAUGUUUGUAAGGGAUCAUCACUAAGGUUUGAAAGAAAAGUGUCAUCAACUAAUGCUUCAAUUAAAUCCACAUCAACAAUUCCAUCAUCUGCACUGUGAGGUUGUUUGGCAAUGUUGAAGAUGUUCAGCUCCAUAGUCAUGUUGCCGAAGGACAACUGCAUAUUUCCAGUCCUGCAUUGAAUGUGAGCAUCCGCAGUUGCCAAGAAAGGUCGGCCUAGAAUAAUGGGGAUGUGCUUCCUUGAAUCCUGUAUUGGUUGAGUGUCAAUUACAAUAAAAUCAACAGGAAAAUAAAACUUGUCUACCUGGAUAAGCACGUCCUCCACAAUACCACGAAGUAUUUUCGUGGACCGAUCUGCAAGUUGUAACACCACUGGAGUUGGGUGUAAUUCUCCCAGUCCAAGUUUCACAAACACAGAGUAAGGCAAUAAAUUUACACUAGCUCCUAAAUCCAACAAAGCAUUCUCAAUUGUGUGGUUCCCUAUACUACAUGAGAUAGUGGGGGAGCCUGGGUCUUUGCAUUUUAAAGGAAUUUUAUGUUGGAGUAUAGAACUAACGUUUUCUGUUAAAAAUGCCUUCUUUUGAACAUGCAUGUUUCUCUUUUUAGUACACAAAUCUUUAAGAAACUUGGCAUAAGAUGGAACUUGCUUUAUAGCAUCAAGUAAAGGGAUAUUAACACUUACCUGUUUGAAGAUUUCGAGAAUCUCACCUGUAGAUUUUCCCUUUUUUCCUUUCGCUAACCUCUGAGGAAAUGGAGCUUUGGGAACGUAUUCUCGUGGGUUGGCUUCUUCUCUCUCCUCCGGUGGUGAGUCCUCAACGUUCACAGGUACAAUUUGAUUUUCCUUUGUCACCGGCAUCUCCACUUUGUUGUCGAUUUCUUUUCCUUUUCGCAAGGUCAUUAUUGCUUUGACCUCUCCAUGCUGCUGUGGUGAACUGGUACUCGCUUCAUGCAUUCCUUUAGGAUUAGGCACUGGUUGACUUGGAAAUUUUCCUUUCUCAACAGUCAUUGCCAAGGUCUGAACUGAAGAAGCAAGUUGUCCCACCAUCUUCUCGAGGCUUGAAACUGAUUGAGCUUGUGAGUUGAAGCCCGCUCUCAAUUCAUUUCGUAGUCCAUCAAUGGUGCGGUUCUGUUGCUCAAUCGUGGAGUGAGUAACAUUCUUGAAAUUUUGGAAUGCAUCCUCCCAUGGUCUGGGCUGAGAGUAAUUCUGGUUCUGAUUGUAUGGUCUAAAUGGUGGCUGAGAGGCUUGAGGAGUUUGAGAAAUUUGUUGCAUUGGUGGAGCUGGAGCUGCUGGUCCAUUCUGUUGGAAUCCUUGAGACCAUGAAAAAUUAGGGUGAUCUCUCCAUCCAGGGUUAUAUGUGUUGGAGUAUGGGUUGUAAUUUGAUGGCUUUCUCAUUACACCUAUGGCAUUGGCUUGAUCUGAGUAUGAGUCAUGGUCAUGUGGUUCUGUUGAUUUAGCAGUCGAUAAUGAUGCUAUUUGUCGAGCAAGACCUUCAACCAUCUCCUUGACUUCUUUGAUUCCCGAAGUUGACUCGCCAAUGUGAACCUCAUUCACUCCUUUAAUCCUUCUAGUAUUCCUGAGUGAUCGACUCCGUUGUUGGGAAUUGUCCGCUUGUCGCUGGAAGAAUUCCCAAAUCUCUGAUGCACUUUUUGACAUUAGCUCUCCUCCACUUGUUGCCAUUAGCCAUUCUUGCACAUUCGGCAAUAAUCCCUCCAAAAAGUAUUGGCAUUGGUGCCAUUUCUCGUACCCAUGAUGUGGACACUUCAAGAGUAGCCCAUUGAAUCGCUCCCAUGUUUCGAAAAAUUGCUCGUCAUCUUUCUGGGUAAACUCCGAGAUUUCCCUGCGAAUAGCAUUGGUUUUAUGCACUGGGAAAUAUUUAUUUAAAAAUUUUGUAACCAUUUGUUCCCAUGAUGCAAUGCUAUUAGCAGGCAAUGUAUUAAGCCAUGAACGAGCUCUAUCUUUUAAAGAAAAUGGGAAUAGUCUAAGUUUAACAUCAUCAUCUGAAAAAUUCUCAUAUUUGAAUGUUUGACAAAUGGCAUGAAAAUCAUUCAAAUGAUUAUAUGGAUCCUCAUUUUCUAGGCCAUAAAAUGUAGGGAGACAAUUUAACACACUAGGUUUUAAUUCAAAACUCCUAGCAGCUACAUUUGGGUAUCUUAUGCAUGACGUGCUCAAAUUAGCUAAGGGACUAAAAUAGUCCUUAAAUGGCCUCUCCUGUGGUGCUUGUAAAUCCAUUUUAUUUUUAACGUGUUUGUGUGUGCGAAGUGUUUUUUCUAAUUCAAGGUCUAUAGGUUCAAGAUUAGGUAGUAAUGACCUACGACCAUGCAUGCAAAAUAAAUAAAAUAAAAAUAAAGAUGCAAACAAAACAAAAAAUAAAGAUGGGAACAAAACAAAUAAAAAUAAAGAAGAGGGAGAAAUUACGAUACUAACCUUAUUGCGCUAUUACAACCUUUCUAUAAAAAUACACAAAAAUAAAUACGUGAAAGAAAUUAACUAAAAAUUAAAUUAAUAAGAUAAAAAAAUAAAAAAAAUUACAAAGAAAAAUAAAUUGAAAAUUAAAUCACAGAAUUUUAAAGAAGAGAAAAAGAAAAGAAAUACUAACCUUUAAAUGUAGAUUCACUUUUUUUUCUUUUUUUUUAAUUAAAAAAAAUAGAAGAAAACAAAUAAAAGAAAUUAUUAAACAAAAAGUUUAAUUCUAUGAAUUAAAAUUACUUACCUCCCCGGCAACGGCGCCAAAAACUUGUUGUGCAAAUUUUAAUGUACUCGCAAGCGCACGAAUCUAUUGUAGUAUAGACUAAUGGUGACGAGUGUCGAUCCCACGAGGAGGUGGAUUUUAAUUAUAUAUAGAAUUAAUUUUGUAAAUGGGUAGUUGGAUUUAUGGGGGAAAUGAUUUGGAAUAUGCUAAUACUUAAAUUAAAAUGGCGAGAAUAAAUUCUAAAAUUGGAAUUGCAAUGGAGAGAAUAAAUUGAAGAGAAAAUCUAUUAAAUUGACGUACUUGGGUAUCUGGAUCCGUAUCAACAUGCAUCAUGGGCUAAAUAAUCCGUAUUAAUGCCAAUUAAAUCAUGAGGGGGGAAUCCACACCUCAUGAACCACGCUCUAAUCAAUAUGGUGCUAAGGGCUUAUCGUGCCAAAUAAUAAUAACCUUAUACUAGAGAGCCGGUGUAACCAAGGCGGUAUCUAGACAAGACUAUUAUUAUUUGUCGACGAGAAGUCAAAACAUCCACAAAAAUUAAAGGGGAAGAGAAAAUAAAUUUACCAAAUUAAGCCCAUGACACAUGUUGAGACUUCACCUUCAACCCAAGCUUGAAAGAAAAUUAGCCACUCAUAAUUGAACUACGGGCAAAAUGGGAAUUUAUUAAAAUACGAAGAAAAUACAAGAUGGAGAGGGAAUUACAGAAAAUGGAUCCCAAAAAUGGAUUCAGAGAUAUCAAAUUAGGGGGGGGAGGCCCCCUUUUUAUAGAUACAUGGAGUAAAUCAUGGCCAUCGGAUUAAAAACAGUUUGGACGCUCAGGAUUGCGCCACGUCAUCAGUCAACAAUCCACGGUUUGACCACGCGGAUGAACAGUAACACGGUUUGACCCGGAUGAACAGUAACGCGGUUUGGUUGAAAAUAAUCCUGUGUGAUGCAUGCACCGUACGCGAGAUUUUUCGUCCACUGAUAUGCUGCCACGUCACCAUCAACAGUACAUAAGAAUUUUAGUCCAACAGGAUCGUGACACCUCAUCAGUCAAUGCCACAUCAUCGGUCAAUGCCACGUCAUCAUCCGUCUAUGUGAACAGUGUCGUGAACAGUAACGUAUACAGUAUCGUACACGUGAAUAGUACCGUACAUGUGAAUAGUGCCAUUUUUCCUUUUAUGCUCCUCCUAAGGUUUUCGACCGUCCUGAGUUCAAAAGUGAUGUCCGUUUUGCCGUCUGAUCUCUCCUUUAUUGUGAAAUGACUAUAAUGCCCCUAAAAUACAUAAAUUACUUAAUUAAAAUAAAACACACGUAAUUAAAUCAUAAGAAUGUUAAAUACAUAAAAGUAAGGGUUGUUAGUAAGACUUGAAAUGUAAAAUGACAGUUUUCUCCUUUAUAAAUAUGCAUUUUCUAACACUCAACACAACGCCACAUCAAUUUGUACAAGAGUUUGUAACUAUAUCAUUACUCUUUGUUUUUUAUGUUCUUCACUCAAAAUUGUUCAAAAUAGUAAUAGUAAUGGACAUAAAAUUACUGAUACUACAAUUGCUUACUAAUCUGAUUUAAAUUCUUAUGUGCCAUACUACAAUUAUAUAAAGUGAAGACAAUAAUUUUUUAUCAUAAUAGAUGUAGUUAACAAUGUGACAGUAUAACAAAGUAUUGUUAAUCAAUACCAAUUUUCUUUGUUAUUCAUCAUGACAUUUCUCAACGUGUGCUAUGGGUUUAUAUCUCAAUUUUAUAAGUGAAUGAUUUUUUUAGUUGUCAAAAAUAGACAUUUAAUUAAUAAGACACCUUGGUUUGAUUCAUAUAUGCAUAUUGGGAUACUUACCCAAAAAAAAAAUAAAUGUAUGUCUAAUUUUUUAGUCCUAACAUUGAUUGGCUAGUUGUUUCUGACAUUUUUGCCCAUAUAUAUAAUUCUCCUUGUAAGGAAAGAAAUCUAAUAAUAUUAUUAUCUUUACCUUAUUUAGUUAUGGCAUAAAAGAGUUUAAUUGUGGUAAUUAGUCCUAACACUGAUUGGCUAGUUGUUUUUGACAUUUUUGUGCAUAUACACAAUUCUCCUCGUAAGGAAAGAAAUCUAAUAAUAUUAUCAUCAUUAUCCUUAUUUAGUUAUGGUAUAAAAAAUUUUAAUUGUGGUAGUAUUGUUCUUAUCUGUCUGCUCUUUUGCAUAGUUAUCUUUGUUAUUUAGUUAUGGCAUAAAAGAGUUUAAUUGUGGUAAUUAGUCCUAACACUGAUUGGCUAGUUGUUUUUGACAUUUUUGUGCAUAUACACAAUUCUCCUCGUUAGGAAAGAAAUCUAAUAAUAUUAUCAUCAUUAUCCUUAUUUAGUUAUGGUAUAAAAAAUUUUAAUUGUGGUAGUAUUGUUCUUAUCUGUCUGCUCUUUUGCAUAGUUAUCUUUGUUAUUAUUUUGACAAUCUAUUAAAAGAAUCUAAUUGAAUACUAUUUAUUUACCUUAGGAUUCUCUGCCUAUUAAUUUUCUCUUAUUUGUUUGCUUUCUCUCUCUCUUUCUUUUUUUUUUUUCAAAAUUUCAUAUUUAGAUCUUUCAUUAAAGAAUAAACAGUAUAAACAAUGAAAUAUUAGAUAGUGUGAUGAUAGAGUUACAAAUUUUUGUAAAAAUUUAUUUUAUACAAACAGAUGUUGUAUAAAUUCAUUGGUUGGAUAAAAAUACAAAAUAAUAAAAAUAGAUUUGAUAUGUACAAAGUCAAUUAUAUCCUCUAUAUUUAUUAAAUUUUUUUUUCAUUACAAGGUUAUGUUUUUCCAGGUAUAUUGAUUAUAAAUUGAGUUGCCUUUAUUUUGUUUUUUUAAAAUGGAAAAGAUUUCAUUAAGCAAAAGGAAUUACAGAGUAUUUAAUAGCCACCGAGGUGGAACGAAAUUCCACUUUUAGGGACCUGACAUAGAACUUGCUGCUCUUGCAACAGAGUGAGCAGCAAAGUUCGCAAACCGACAUACAAACGAGAAUUGCACUUCUCCUAAAGACAUAACUAGAGCUUGACAUUUUUCGAUAAUUAAUCCAAAACCAUUUGGACCUGAAAACUCCUCAACCAAAGCUCGGAACACUUGUAGGCAGUCUAUCUCUAUAAUAACACAAGGAAACUGCAACCCUUUAAGCCAACUAAGAGCUUCACAGAUGUCAAGAGCUUCAGCUUCUCGAGCUCCAAAAUUUCCUGCCAUACCAGCACACCGUGCUGCCAAGAAACAUCCUUCUGAAUUUCGAAGCAGACAACCAAACCCAAUCUUUCCCUGAGAUGCAAAAACAGCUGCGUCCACAUUGCACUUAACCCAGCCAAACUUAGGCUUCUCCCAAUACAAUGCCCCAUAAACCUGCCUGGGAACAUCAUCAUUAACAAAAUACAGUUGCUUAUUUGCUGCUUGCCACUGAUAAAGAAGCUGCCCAGCUGAGUUAAGAACCUGAUAAGCUGAGCUAGCUUUGUUGUUCCAAAUUCUAUCAUUGCGAUUAAUCCAAAUCCUCCAGCAAAGCAUUACAACAAUAUUGCACUCAUCUUUAUUGCAACGUGUAAAGAUGUGAUCAAGCCAAUCCAAGAAAGAAGAGCAGUGGCCAACAAAACCCACAGGGGAAGAGAUUCAACAAGACUUAGCAAAGCUGCACUCAAUCAAAGAAUGUAUAACAAUUUCCUCAUAAGCAUUGCACACAAUACAAGUAGAGGGAAAAUCCACCCUUUUAGAAAUUAAAUUAACUGCAGUAGGCAAAACAUUGGCUGCAGCUUGCCAAAUAAAAUUCUUAACCUUGUUCGGCACAUUCAAGUUCCACAAUUUUCGCCAUACACCCGCAAAAAAAUCAGGGGUAGUAGAAGUUAAUAGUUUAUAACAGCUACGAAUCGAAUAGCAACCUCGAGAGUCAGCCAACCAAUACCACACAUCAUUAUCUCGGCGGGAACUAAGAGGAAUUUGCAGAAUCAAUGCUUUAUCUCUUGAGUUGAAAAUGUUCGAAAUCACAUCAUGAUCCCAUACUCGUUAGUUAGACAUCAUUAUACUACUGACAGAUGUUGUAGCAAGUUCUUCAUUAAAAUUAGAAGAAAUAAAGCCAUCAUUGAGAUCUGGAAGCCACGGAUACUUACUAAUGGAAAUCGUCUGUCCACUGCCAACUUGCACUCUACUCCCUUAAAUCACCACGUCUUUUGCUGCCAAAAUAGAGCACCACACAUAGCUGGGAUUGUGCCCUAAAGAAGCUCGCAGGACAGAAGUUCGUGGAUAGUAAUGAGCUUUAAGAAUUUUAGCCAUAAGAGAAUCAAGACGGGUUAAUAAUCACCACAAUUGUUUUCCUAGCAUCGCAAUGUUGAAUAGAUGAAGCUAUUUAAAGUCAAGACCACCAUAACCCUCUGGAUUGCACAAAUAUUCCCAUCUAACCCAAGUAAUCCCUUUCCCUCCACUGUGAUUGCUAUGCCACCAAAAGGAAUUCAUCAUCACUUCUAAUUCUCUACACAACUCACUUGGCAGCAAGUAAAUGUUCAUAGCAUAAUUAGGCAUAGCAAGUGCCACAGUCUUUAGUAAAAUCUCUUUGCCAGCCCGAGAGAGCAUCCGCGUACUCCACCCUUAAAGUAUUUGCCAGAGCCUGUCCCAAAUAUAUCUCAAGACUUCUUUCUUUUUCCUGCCAAUGUAUGAUGGCAGGCCAAAAUAGGCUCCAUGAUUAGUGGUGUUGGUAACCAUAAGAAUAUCACAUACUUGCCGAGUUCCAACUUCAAGCACAUUAGUACUAAAUGAGAUUGAAGACUUGUUAAAAUUAACCACUUGGCUAGAGGCUCGACCAUACACCGCCAACAAAUGCUUAAUUAAGGAAGCUUCGUUGAUGUUUGCUUGAAAGAAAAGAAAGCUAUUAUCUGGAAAAAAAACAAAUGAGACACUGUCAGAGCUCCUCUCGCAAAUUUGACUCCAUGAAGCAAGCCAUUUCUUUCUUGCCUUCAAAUUAAUGAGCUUAAACCUUCCGUACAAAUAAUGAAUAAAUAUGAUGAUAAUGGAUCUCCUUGGCGAAGACCUCUGCAAGGAAUAAUCGGACCAAUCACCUUACCCUCACGCAACACACUAUACCGGACAGUAGAAAUGCAGAGCAUAAUUAAGUCCACCCAUAUCGCAUCAAACCCCAGCUUGAGCAUCAUAGCUUGAAGAAAGUUCUACUCAAUCUUGUCAUAUGCCUUAGACAUAUCAAUUUUCAAAGUAGCUACCCUAUUUUUUCCUUGCCGCUUUUGCUUCAAGAAAUGCAAAAGUAGGGAUGGCAAUGGGGUGGGGUGGGGGUGGGGAGGCCUACCCCAUUCCCCACCCCGUUAUAAAUUUUUGCCUCCAUUCCCCACCCCAGUCCCCAAUAAAUUUAGUGGGGUGGGGAUGGAGAAACCCCAUGUGGGGAAUGAUUUCCCCAUCCCCACCCCAUUCUCCAUUUAUUUAUUUUAUAAUAUGUAUAAAUAUAUUAUUUUAAUAAGUUAAAAAUUAGAGAUUUAAAAUAAAAUUAUCAUCAUAUUAUAAAGUAUUUAAAUUCUUUUAAAAAAAUAUCUAAAAGUUUGAAACAAUAUCUUAAAAUGAUAUUAAAAGUGAAAAAAAUUUAAAGAGCGUAGCACCUUAAAAGAGAAAAGAAAAUAUAACAAUGUUUCAGAGUUGAAAAAUAUUAUAGGAUUUUCUUUCAUUUAUAUCUUGUUUAUAUUGCAUAAAAAUUAAAAAAAAUUAUUAAUUGACAUUAUAAUUGAUAAAAUAAAAUUAUUAAAUAAGAAUUAAAAACAUAUUUAUAUAUAAUGGGGAUUGAGGUGGGGAGUACAAAACCAAAUCUCACCCCAAUAAGAAUUUUGGGAUUAUUUUUCCCUCACUCCCCACCCCAUUCCUCAAAAAUUAUUCAAAAUUUUUCUCAUUUAGGGUGGGGCUCCAUAGGGCCCCAAAUUCAUGAAGGAUUUUGUCAUCCCUAUGCGAAAGUUAAGUAUGGAUGGUUGUUGUUCUCCAAGAACGCAAGCCUGAUAUAAUUUUCCUUUUGGAAAAAAACCCCACAAAAUUAUAGGAGGCCCACAGCCCCUACCCAUUCUAUUUUGAUGGGUACCUCACCGCCCGAAUUGACUUUACACCGGAUUUGACGAAAAUAUAGCGCCAAUUUGCGCCCGCGAAAUUCAAAAAAAAAAAUAAUAAUAAACAAAAACAUGUUGCUACCACCGACCACCGUUAUCUUUCUGCUGGGAGGGAGAGAAUAUCCAAAUCAACUCGGUUCUCAGGUACGGAUAAUUCUGCUGUUACAUAUUUCAAUCAUUAUCAUCUGCUUCCUGUUUGGUUCCUUAGAAAACGCAGGAAAAUGAACGAAUUAAAAGGCUAUUUUCAAACUCCCCAUAAUUCCUUUAUUUAUCCAUAAAUACAUAUGACAAUAGAAAUUUCUGAACUCUAUAAUACGAUCUUUAUUGUCACAGAUUCAAGGUUCCACAACUCCGCUAUCGCUUCCUUCUGGUCAGUACAGUUCUUUUACAUUUGGUUUUAUUUUUAUUUAUUUUUGCUUUUGCUUCUUUGUUGUGAGGGGGGGGGGUUAUCAGAGCCGCCAGAUGUUAGAAACUGGUUCUUGAGCUAUGAGUAUGAAUCCCCUGUAUUGGGCACAACUGAUGGAUUCAAAGAUCCUGUUACUAGAGAUAGCGGAUGUUUCGUUUCCAAAGAAAGCACCGAAGAGACAGAAAAUCAUCUUAUCAUCAGUGAGGUACUUGAAACCGAAGACAUUUAUUUAAUGAUGCAUAAGGUUAGAGUCUCUUUUAUCUAAUUAUUUUUAUUGUGAUAGAUUCUGGAUUCCUCAUGCUUGCCCUCCCAGGUUUCUGGUAUGAGUUGCUUCUUUUCAUUGUUCAUUUAUGACGUUUGUUCGAAUGUUCGAUGGUUGCAAGAAGAUGUGAUUUUUUAUUUUUUCUUGUUUUGUUAGAGCCCGCUGGCAUCGGAAACUGGUUUUCAAGCUACGCUUAUGAAUCUUUUGUAUUGGAUACGAAUGAUGAUGUUCAAGAUUCUGUUUCUGAAGGAAGUGAAUGUGAAAAAGGAGGGUCUCUUGUGGGAGAACGCCAUAAUGGACAAGAGAAUAUGGCUGCAACUAGAGAAAUUGAUGUUAAGAGUGAUAGUUCUUUAGGAGAUGAUGAGCCUGACGAAAAGUCCUCAAUUAAGGUAAAAUUAUGAUUAUAUUUCUAUGGCCUUUUUGGCAUUCUUUUUCCUUUUCUGGCUUAUGAAUAAAAAGGUGUGUCCAACAUUAUCUCUUGUAACUAGACAUUAUUUAUUUACUUUCACAACUAUUUAUAGCACAGCUGUAAAAGCCAGCUGCAAAGGGCUAAGUUUCUUAUAUCUAACACAUUGAUGUUGAUUCAGAUUUUGGAUUCUCCUGAUCCAUCUACAGUCUUUACAGGUUAGUAUCACUGACUUUGAAAAUUCAUAUUUGGUCGUUCAGUAAUUUUGCACAAGUAAAUUUCCCCUUUUUCUUUUUAAUUUGUGUUAGAACCUCCUGAUGUCAAAAAUUGGUUCUCAAGCUAUGCAUAUGAAUCUCCUGUAUUGGGUACAAGUGAUCAAUUUGAAGAUUCGCUUCAUUUAGAAAUGGAACCAGAGAAAUUUGUUGUUGAAGAUAGCGAUUUAGAGACAGAAGAGAAAUUGACCAUAAUUAGAAAAGUUAGAAGUGGAGAUGAAAAGGUUGAUGAGGAGAAAGAGCAUUAUAAUUUCACAAGACAUAAUAGCUCUAUUGAAGUUCGUGAGCAGAAACAGGUUUGUAAGGUACACCUUCUGUAUCUGUCUAUCUCCUUGUUCCAAAAGAAAAUUAAAAUUGUUAUUAAGGAGGGAAAGCAUUUCACAUAUUUGUGGAAGUCAUAUUUUAACGUUUGUGGUCGUGUUGCAGAGAAUUGAUAGGAUUGGAGGGAAGAGAAGUUCGUCUUCUCAGAAUAAGAUACAUUCAGAUAAGACUUUUAAAGACAUCUUGGAAGGUAAAGCACAGCAAAGCAAUGUCACGAGUCCAUCCAAAGACAUUAGAGAACUAAGCUUUGAUGAUGAAGGUUCUAUCUCCAAAUUGGAGCUAAAAUUGUCCCAGAAGCUUGUUCUGUGUCAUGGAAUCUCAAUGGAAUUUCAAGCAGUAAGAAGGAUAAACCUCAAACAAACUCGUUCCAUACGACUGACUUCAAAGAGAAGUUCAUGGAAGAAGUUAGUCCUUUAUCACCUACGAGUAACUCUAAGUUGGCUCAAGAUUGUGGAGCUUCGCCUAGGAAACAAACUCAUAGGAGGAAUGACAAGGAAAAUUAUCAAAAAGGAAUUGCAGAAAAUGGUUUUGUUGCAACAAGGAAAAAUGGGAGUACAAGAACAGCAAAUGCAGAUUCUUUGAAAAUGUCCCAAGGGAUUUUAUUAGAGUGUUCAAGGAAUAAUAGAAGUGUUUCGCCUGCUGGUGAAAAGGUUGUUGAUAGAAGAAAGGCAUUGAUAGAAACGACCAAUUAUCAGAACUCUGAUGCUUUAGAGGUCACUGGAAAAUGGAGGUGUCCCCAAAAGGGUAAGCCAAGCCUCGGUCCCCCUUUGAAGCAGCUUCGUCUUGAGCGAUGGAUUCAUAGAGUAUAGAACUCUUAUCAGUGUUGGGAGAAGUCUUGGACGCUUAGGAGCGACUUAAGCUAAUUGGUAUUCAAAUUCUAAAAUAAGCAAGCAGGAUCAAGUGCAGUCAACUAGUUAAGAGCAUUCUUAUGUUUUGCAAUAUUCGUUUGACGAGAAGGAAUUUUUUUUUUUGAAAAAACUUUUCUAGUCUUUUUAGAUGAGUAUCAAAAAUCUAUUUUUAGAAACGAUUUUAUAUGUUUUGAAUUGUUCUUAGAAAAAAGAUUUUGGGCAUUGGAUAGUUUUGCAAGACAAAAAAAGUUCAAACUUUUUUUUAAAUAAAAACUACAAAUCAAACUUGGACUCUAUGCUGUUAAAGGCGUUUGAAUUUAUUUGCCUUAAAUAGAUCAUAUCUGAAUACUUGAAACCUUGAAGGUAUGUUUACAAUUUUAGCAUAACUGUUGUGGGAUAAAUUCUCAUAUUAAAUAUAUAUAUAUAUAUAAAACGAGCGCCUGAGUGAUUUGAACUCUUUUAAGUUAUGUCAUGUAAUAGUGAUAUAAGGUGGAAUAUUUUUAUUCUAUUAUUUUUGUAAAUUCACUGUAUUUUAAAAAAUAAUUAUAAUAAUUUCCUGUUAUUUUUAAAUAUUUGACAAUUAAUAUUGUUCACCCGCGGGCCAGAUUCACAAUCAAGAAUUUAAAUGAACUAAUCGUUGUUAUGGUAGUAUAUUAAAAGAAUAUAUAUGAAAUAAUCCUCUUAUUAUGCUAUUGUAUACCAACAACUAGCAAGCAAUUACGCAAAAGCUUGUUCAAUUUGAAUGAAAAUUGCUGGGAAAAUUAUAAAUAGAUAUCACCUAUUUUAAUAAUUAUUUAUUUCAAACCUUUUCAUUUAUGUUAAAAAAAAAAAGAGAGAGAAACGUUUCAUUUUAAAUAAUAUGGUAUUUAGUACCUCGAUGUCAAUGAUGGGAUGAAAUAUACUUUCUAAAAUAAUUUUAACAACUCAACAAAGAAAAUUUUUAAUAUAAAAUAGCAUCUCUUGUAUCUUAUUAUAUGUACAUCUCAACCGAUCAUAAAAGUAAAGAUUAAAAAAUUUAAUGGAUGAGAAAAUGUACACCUUAAACACCUCUAAAAACAAGAAAUUUGGAUAUAAUUAAAUCUUAUUUUGUUUAGUGUUUCUAUACAAACUUUGGGACAGAAUUUCUAGGUUAGCUAGCUACUAUAAGGCCUUGCAAUUUUUCAGUGAAAAGAGAACUAAGCGGACCCGUUAUGAUUCCACAAGCAGUUUGCAGCCCAUAAAAUUUAAAGCCCACGGCCCACGUUUCUGUGGCCGACUGUCUAUCGCUCUAUCAAAACUCUCCUCGUCGUCGUCGGUGUGCUCGCAUGGGAUCAAUUUUGAGUCAACGAUGAGUGCUUUAACGAAGCUAACAAAAACACUUGCACAUCACUGCGUCAAAAAAUCUAAAACCCAUUGGUGCAAACCUUCGCAGCCACUUUUAAAUUUAUUAAUCUCUGAAAAUAUUGUUAACAUCAACACUUCUCGGUUUCAUCAGUACCAAAGCCGUAGAACUCUCAUUCUAGAUUCCGCUUCCUCCGAAUCGGUCCAGCUUCAUGGGUGGCUUGAAGCUGUAUAUUUUGUGGUAGCCUAAUUUUUAUCAUUGUCAUCAACUAUUAUAUUUCAUUAAUUUAACAUCGGCCGCCGCUGACGUUGUAUUGUUUAUUUGUUUCAGUUUCAUAAUUUAGAUUUAAACUUAACAAUUAUUAUUAUUAUUUGUUCUUCCGUAAAAACUCGAACACCUGUGUCCUGACGGCUGGCGUUCGCUUCCAGCCAUUUAUAAAUAAAGACGGGGUAUUUUUGUCAGACCGAUAAUAUUUCAGCAGAAAUAAAAGGUACACGAAACCUAUAUAAAAGGAAUAAGGAAGAGGAAACGACAUUAUUUUUUAUUCGGUGUUUCUUCUGAUCUAGCUAAAGAGAAAGCACAAUGGCAGCAGUAGACGAGCGUCCUUCAGCUAAGAGGUGGCUUCCUCUUGAAGCUAAUCCCGAUGUCAUGAACCAGGUAUUAUUCUACUUUUCUUUUCUUUUCUAUUUUGUUGGUUUUCUCGUUUAGUUUAUAGAUCAUCCGCUGUUUGUUCACUAAAGAAGAGAAUUGAAAUGAAUUUUUGUAUUAUUGUUAUUAAUCGCAUAACAAUUUCGAAGAGUUUUUUUUAUUUGGUCUUUCGGUUUUCCUUUCUAUUUUUUUUUUUUAAUUUGAAAUUUGAUAGAUUCUGGAAGUUGUUUGAAAGACACCCUUUUUGUUUACUGAGAAAAAUGAAAGAAAGUAUCUAUUGAACUGCUUAUCUAUGGUUAUGAGUUGUUGCUUUUAUUACUUAAAAAAAAAAUGGCCACAUAGAGGUUUAUUCUGUUUGUGAAGAGUAUUCUUAGUUUAGUUUACUUCAUAUUUUUUAUUUUGUAGUUCCUUUGGGGCCUUGGUCUUCCAGCUGAGGAGGCAGAGUGCUAUGAUGUGUAUGGCUUGGAUGAUGAGCUCUUGGCAAUGGUUCCACAACCUGUUCUUGCCGUGCUGUUUCUUUAUCCCUUACCUCCACAGGUCUGUUAAAACCAAAUUUGUUUCUUUAUACUUGGUAUGCUUCACGAGUAUAUACUUGUUUGCUGAUUUUUUUUUUUUCAAAUUUUGAUUUCUUCAGAGUGAAGAAGAAAGAAGGUUGCAGGACAAUGACAAAAAGGUGGGUGUGAAUGUGUGAUGAUAGGACGUAGUUACUUUUGCUUUAUUAUGCUGUUCUGGAUCAUAAAUCAUCUCUUUUUAAUUAUGAAUACAUACAUAUCAUUUGCAUCCUCUUUGUUAUUUUUUGGUUAUAAGUCUCUUGGUUUUCCUCUUAUCAUGGUUGAUCAAUUGUUUUUGUUUUCUAACUGAGCAAAUGCAGCCGGUGUUGUUGUUCACUUCUAUUUGUGGAGCACAACUUCACUCCACUUUCCUCAUUUUUUUCUCUCUGUAGGAAUCUAGCAAGAAUGUUUAUUUCAUGAAGCAAACUGUUGGAAAUGCUUGUGGAACAAUUGGACUUCUUCAUGCUGUUGGGAACGUCACUUCGGAAAUCAAGUUUCGUAAGUUGUGCUUACUUUUCCUUUAAUUAAGUGUUGCUAGUGUAGCAGUGGUGCUGGCAAUACAAAUACUUUAGAAAUGCUAGUAAUGCAUGCAGCUUUUCUUGCAUUCAAGGUACCUCUAAAUGCUCAUAGUUAUCAGCCAAGUGCUUGUUUGUAUUGUCAUGUAUAUUGCUUCCCUUUACAUUUUUUCUUGUUAUUGCAGAAGAUGAUUCAUUCUUCGAUAAAUUUUACAAGUCCACAGCGAACUUGGAUCCACAAGAGGUGAUUCAUUCUUGGUUCUAUUUCUGCUUUUCCUUUUUUCCCACCCCUAGAGUUAUCUGUUGACUUUGAAUAAUAUUGUUUAUUGCCUCUCAUUUCUCACUUCUAAUUGCUAUGAGUUUUUCAUAUUCUUUCUGCAGCGUGCAGCAUUUCUUGAGAAUGAUAAGGAAAUGGAAGUUGCUCAUUCGGUAGCAGCUUCAGCUGGUGACACAGAGGUAUUUACACAUGCUUGUUUUCAUUAUAAUCAGUAAGGACACUAGUACGGCAUGAGAAUAUCAGCUAAAAUUUGUUAAUCAUAUGGCUGGGCAUUACAUCUUCAUGAGAAUAUCAGCUAAAAUUUGUUAAUCAUAUGGUUGGGCAUUACAUCUUCGUGAGAAUAUAAGCUAAAAUUUGUCUAAAAUGUAUUGCUUUUGUGACCAAAUGGAAGCUUAGCUGUUAAAUUAGACAUUCUCAUAAAGCUGGGAUUUUGGAAGUGAAAAUUGCUGAUUCAUAUUUGUGGUGGUAGUGAUUACAACCCUCAUGCUUUUGUGUGUAUAGGUUAAUAAUCCAUGUGAGUGUGAUUCUAUAUGAAUUACGCAUUAUACUGAAUUCUAAAGGACCCAUUAUAAAUUCCCAUGAGAAGCUGGCUCUAAGAAAUAUCUUAUUGUUUUAUUUGGCACUAUCAAGUAAGGUUUGGGUGCUACAGUAUACUAUUGGAUUGGACUGUAGGAGUCUUAAUUGUAAAAAUGUGAUUUGUCGGGUCAAAUUACUUUCUUAGCAGUUAUUAUAUACAAGGUGACAUGAAAAGUUGACCAGUGUUGAUCGCCGUCUUUGUGAAGUUUCAUGCUCAGCUUCAAAAUGUAGAUUUAAAUGCACUGGACUGGUGGUUGAGGAUAUACUUUACUGGCUAUAGAAUGAUUGAUUCCCCCACCUCCCAAAAAAAAAAAAAAAAGUGGAAUUAAGAGUUCGCCAAUCAAUAUAAUUUUUCCCCUAACUUUUUUUAAAAAAAAAAUUAGUAAGAGUUCGUCAAUCAAUUUCUUUUUUUCCGUUUCCUUCUGUUUUUUCCUAAUUAUCAAAUGAUGUAUAACAUCGUAAGCUCCAAUUAGUUUAAUAUCGUAAGUUGCAAUUGGUUUAUCUUCAUUUGUCUUACCAUUUUCUUAUUUACAGGCUACCGAUGACGUGAAUGAUCAUUUUAUCUGCUUCACCUGUGUGGAUGGUACAUGCUUCCUUUCGAUAGUUGACUUAUUUUUUUCCCUCUCAUAUUGAUUAGCCAAUGUUCAGCUGUUAACCAGCUUUUGAGAAAUUCUAUCUAUGCUUUUGUAUUUAUCAAAAUCUUCUAUGUAGGGGAACUUUAUGAACUUGAUGGAGGGAAGUCGGGGCCAAUAUCCCAUGGUGCUUCGUCUCCAAGCAGCUUAUUGCUGGUAUGGUAAUUAGCAUUAUAAAACUGUGUAUUUCUACCCUCUUUAGAUUCUUAGAUCCCAAAAGAAGCAAAAAUAAAGAAAUUCUUCAGUUUUGGAUCUGAGAAAGAAAAAAAUAUAAGAAAAUGAAAAGACAUCAAUAGUCUUAAGGUCAUAUUUAGUAUUGAGGUUGGACAGCUGUAUCUUAAAAUCUUUAAGUGUUUGGGAAAUACUAACUACUAUGAUUUUGAAGUUAAGUUGAUUUGAAUGAUGAAAAAUCGAUAAUAUUUUUAUUAUUUUUGUCAAAAUAAUUAUUUAAAAGUAAACAUUACUACACACUAUUAAUUUUUAUUUCAUAACUAUAGUUUUUUUUUUCUACAAUAGCUGUGGUUUAAAAGCUGCGACACCUUAAUACCAAACAAGGCUAAAACUAAGUGAACUUUUCUUUAAAGAAAAAGAAGAGAAGAAAUAUUGAUUACUCUGUAGGGCUAUCUCUGAAGCAAGUUUAGAUCAUCAAUAUCUUUGUUGGGCUAGGGUUAGAGUUGUUGCACAAGGUUGGGUUUGGUUUUGGGUUUCAAGUAUAACAAAUUUUAUCCUGAUUGGAUAAGCAUCUUUCUGUUUAAUGAACUACAGUCAAGGAGGUUCAACUUGCUAAUGUGUCUUUUCAUCUUUAACCAUAAGCAAAAAGUGAGCGUGCCUUGGUUGUAGCUCUUUUUUGGCAGUUUUCUGAUAUUGUAUUUCACAUGUACUUUACUCUGAAGUUUGAUUAUUGGGAGCUGCUACCUUACAUGUAAUGUAAGGUAUAGUCUCUCACAAAUUGAAUUGUGGGUCUCAUUUGGGCCCACAGCCUUGUGAGAGGCUGUACUUUACAUUACAUGUAAGGUAGCAAAAUCCUUGAUUAUUAAUAUUAUCUAUUAUUUAUUUAUUUUUUACAGGAUGCAGCUAAAGUGAUAAAGGGCAUGAUCCAGAAAAAUCCUGAAUCACUGAACUUCAAUGUAAUUGCCUUUUCGAAGAAAGCUUGAGGUGCAUUUUAAUGUUGAGAAUCUGAGCUUAUUCAGUUCCUGCAAAUGAUAAAGCUUCUUACUGCAGUUUUCAGUUUGUGCACAUCCACAUAUGCGCAAACAAACUAGUUCAGUGAUGGUUGUAGGUCGACUUAGGUGGCUUUACUUUCAGAUGGUACAGCAUGUUAAUUCUGGUUGCUGUGUUUCAGUUUUAGAGCAGAUUCAUUUUACACCUUGGGAGUGCCAGCAUGACUCUUAGCCCUACAAUGCAUGUUAUGCUACAUUUUCUGCUGAUGUUAAAUUUAAAUGGGUGAACAAAUUUGGAUUUGGAAACAAGGCUUAUCCUUUUCUCUACCGAUUAAAACAUCACCAAGAUUAUUAAGACCUUGUUUGGUAUUGAGUGAGGUUUAUGUGAGGGAAAAGAAAGAAAAAACAAAAGCAUAUAGCUAUGAAGAAAAAUAAAAGUUAAAAAUAUUUGGUAAAUAUAAUUUCUAAGUAGUAGUUUUGACAACAAAAAAAAGAAGAAGCAAAGAUAUUAGUUUUUUUAAUUUAGUUUUUAAACAUCAUAACGAGUGUUUAUAUUUAAGUUGCUGUAACUUAAAAGUGACAGGCCGUAGAGUGCCCACCAUAAUGAAACAAGGCUAUUAAAAAAAUAAAAAUAAAAAUCUUUUAAGUCGGAUUCUUUUUCAAUAGGGCAAAGCUAGUUUCUUCUUUCUUCUUCUUAUCACAUAUACUCUGUUAGUAGGGUAUCUAAUUAGUCGAAUUAACAAGACAUUUUGUGGAUGAUAUAAGUGAUUCUCAUGCAAGGAUAACUGGAGUUUAGUUUAUAUAUAUAUAAGAAAUCAAAGUUAUGAAACAGCAAAACAAAGGCCUAAAUAAAUAUGGUGGUAAUCCGUGAAUUGUUUGGCAAAGAGGGUGAGGGAAUCAGCUUCUAACUUCUUCCUAGUCUCUUUGGGCGUCUCACCUAUCUCUGUAUUUUUGCAACCGCGCUCAACAAGCUUAUUUGCGAGUUUCAAGAGCUUGAUUUCAAUCUUGAGCUUCGGUUCAAUCUCAACCAUCCCCUUACCAGGCUUCCUGUUCACUCCAACCUUGGUAUCUUUCUUUGGCUCCACCGAAAGCUUGUUGGCCUGCAUGUUUUGGUAUCCAUUAGUCUCUGAAACUCUUCUUGCCCUACGACUUGGCAAUCCCAUGGCCAUGCAUCCAAAACAAGAUAAAAUCUAUUUCUCCUAAGUUUAACCCUAAUCAAAUCGACUUAAUAAACCCCUUUUUUUUUGUUUCCAAAGGUUUGAUAAGACUUGUUUAUAUGUUGGAAGAUAAGUGGUUCCCCGCCCAAAUAGGAUUCCCAUAGUUAAUGCGGGUUCCAACUCUGCGACAACCGGGUCGCUCAUGAAAUAAGGAAGAUUCCCACUUCUUCCUUUGAAAGCACUCUUAUUUACUACUCACCAGUUCCCCUUAGUGUUUUACUUUUCAUAAUAUCUACGGCUGUCUUAACCUUAAACAAAGUUAACGAAAAAUGUGAAAGUUAAAUAAUUUUCUGAUAUAUUGUCAAGUGUAUGCCCAAAAAAAAAAAACUAUAAUAGCAGACAACUUUAAAAAUGAAAAAAUACAAAAUAAUAAUAAAAAAAAACAGCCUUUAUUAUAUUUUUCAUCUAUCUCCGCAGCAAAUAUCAGCUCCUAAUAACUAUAGAGGUGGCACCGACCUCCAUCCCUGGGUAAAUAUUGUAGUGUACAUAAUGUGAAUACUGUAGCUUAAUGUGGUAGAUUUUCUAGAAAUUAUAAAUUUUAACACUGUUAAUAUUUUUUAAAAGAAUUUUAUAAAAACUAACAUUUUCCAAGCAUCUACAUUUCCUAUUAUAUGAAUUUUGUCUGUGUGUGUAUGGUAAAGAUUAGUAUUCUGUUAACUUUUUAUAACUAGAUGGGACAUGACAUUAUGAAAACAUUAGGACGAGGUAAUAAAAGUUGAUUUCUACUAGAGGGAAAGUGACAAUCUCGGUAAAUAAUUAAAAUUAUGUAUUCUCACUUUUCAUUUCUUUCUUUUUUUUUCAGCUGAAAAUUGCUUUGAGGUUAAACAUCAAGUGAUUUUAAAAUGAAACUUCCAUUUUUUAUUAUAGCCUUUUUUUCUUUUUUUGAAAUCCUAUCAAUAUAUAAAACUUAAACAAGCUAAUAACAAUCCCCCCAACUGGUUUAUGAUACAGAACAAAUGUGCCAUAAACGUUUACAAAUAAAAUUAUAGUAAAAUGCACUUGCUAGUUAGUAGUGGCUUCAGCUUUCAAUUAACUGCAGUGAAUGAAGUGGGGGCAUUGGGGGAUUAGGAACUUCCAGAUAACCUUCUAACAUUUGCACGAUCAUCUUUGUUGUAGGCCUUUUUAGUGGAUCUUCUUGAACGCACCACAGUGCUGUCAUCAACCAUUUACACACCCUUGAUUUGUCAGCCAUAGCUGCUUUAUCAUUGUCAACCAAAACAUCUAGUCUUCCUUCAACAUAGCAGUCAUAAGCCCAAUCUGUUAGUAUUGCACUUCUUUCUUCCUCCAGUUCCAUCUCCACACUUCUCCUACAGCAAAUGAUUUCCAAUAACACAACACCGAAACUGUAAACAUCCACUUUGGCCGAGACAGGUACAUUCUUGAACCAUUCUGGAGCCACAUAUCCUCGAGUUCCUCUGAUCACGGUGCGCGUUCGAGACUGAUCAGAGAGUAACAGCUUGGAUAAUCCGAAGUCAGAAAUUUUUGCAGUGAAAUCUUGGUCUAGAAGUAUGUUUUGAGGCUUUAUGUCACAGUGGAUGAUGGGAAUAUUGCAUUCUUCGUGCAAGUACAGAAGCCCUCUUGCAAUCUCCAGGGAAAUCCUGACUCUUAGACUCCAGUCAGGUCUUGGACUUGCAAAAAGUAGGUUAGCCAAGGUGCCAUUCCCCAUGAAUUCAUAUACUAAAAGCCGGUUAAGACCUUCGUCACAGAAUCCAAGUAGCUGGACAAGAUUCUUGUGAUGUGUUCUGCCGAUUGCCCUCACUUCAGUUUUGAAUUCCCUUUCCCUUUCUUGUGCCAACUUGUCCAAUUUCUUGACUGCUACAGCAUUUCCUGAAGCGGAUUUGAGGACACCUUUGUAGACUAUGCCAAAAGAACCCCUCCCUAGUUCGUCCUCGAACCCAUUUGUUGCUUCAUUGAGUUCAGCGAGCGAAAAGAAACGCAAAUUUGUUUCGGAAAUACUUGAACGUUGGCCCUUGUUUCCAUCUUUUCUCUUGCGCCACACAAAGACGAGAAGAGAUAUUGCCAGUAUCAAAAGUCCAUUGAAGAAUACAGAGCUACCUAAUAGAAGUGUUCCUAGUAAGAUUGGCAUUCCUUUCUUGCCACAAGUAUUGCCAUCAAAAUCAACAGGAAAACCUCCUUUCCUUACUUUGAUGAGAGCUUUUGUAAAUCCUGUUCCUGCAUUGUCAUAGGCCCCAAGGGAAAGGGGGAAUCUCUUCUUCCAACAUCGUCUAGCAUUAUUAUAUAUGGCAACAGCACACAAGCAAUCAUGCAAGCAAGAUGUUUCACACUCUGUUUGAUCAUAAGGUUCCAACCUUUCAUAAUCUCCAAAAGGCCAAUUUACAUCAACGAGUUCCCUUAUUUCAUACAACUCUUCUGCAUUUCUAGAUCCAUGAUCUGGUCCACAGCCUUGCCAGUAAUUUGGCUUGCAACCACUAAAUAUGUUAGUUGGAUCCACAAAUAAAUACCCUGGAGGGCAUUCACAAAAAGGUCUCCCAUUUUGAAGUAAGCAGUAGCUAUUGAAGCCACAGGCACCACUACCGAACUCAUCAGAUAUAGAAGUGCAAAUGUUGUUAGGAAGACGUUGUAUAGUAAACCAGCUUUGGUUAGGAGCAGAAUUCUUUGGAUAAGCAUAUUCUGUGAAUACUCCAUCAAAAUCCAAUGUUGCUCGAAAAUAGUGGUCCGCAAUAGGAGAUAGUCUAUUCCAUUGUGGCAAUUGAACAAUUUGACCAUUAUUUUUUUUUAUGUAUAUGUCAGCUGACUCAUUAAAAACCAGCUGAUGACCAGACUCAGAAGAAUUAGCGCUGUUAGUAUCACUGGUAUAAUAACUUUUGUAUUGGAAUGGGGUUGGCCAGGCCACAGGAAUGAGCAGAAGGCUUCCAUUUGAAAAAUGGAGCUCAAAUCUGCCUUUGGAGAAGUUGGUUUCUGUAAGCCUGGAAACCAACACGCUACCCAAAUCUAAUAUUUGGGUGGGCAAGAUGGUGUCUGUUGGACUUUUAAAACUCUGCCAAGCGUAAUCGGAAUUGUUACCAGAGGCUAUAAGCACAAAAUUACCUGUAUCAAGCAUGGCAGCAUCGGAUACAAUUUUGUUGCGCUUUUCAUCCCAUAUUGCUUGGCCUCCAGGAACUUUAAGCUGAAGGCCGGUGGCAGUAAGUUCAAGUGUUGAUCCUCUGGGAGCUAGGACUGGGUGGUUGUCUUCAUUGGCGUGCCAAAUGAUGGUUCUUUCAGGUAUUUUGUUGAACCAGAUGGCAAGCAAGAAAAGAUCCGAACUGUUGUUUAGUUGGCGAAAUCCGAAAGCAAAAUCCCUUGAAGGUGAAAUCCAUGAAGAGUUGUUGCUGGUGCUUGAUAGAGUUGAACCCAAAGGUAUGUUGGCAGCGGAUAAAAAUGGUAGCAGUGGAAGAGAAAGCAAGAUAAGACAAGAGAGAGCCAAAGAAUCCAUGGCAGGUCGUUAUUGCAAUUGCAAAGAAGGGUUGCAUUUACUAUAAGAAGAUGGUGCUUUGUUAUUAGUCAAUUACACGCACUUUUAAGCCACUAAACUUUAGCCGAAUUCAUACCACACAAUUGUAAAGUCAUGGGUUUGAAUCUGUUUAAUUUUUUUUCUCAAUUUAAGUGAAAACAGUUUUUUUUUUUUAAUUUAAGUGAAGUAAAUAUUUCUCGAAUACUAAAAAGGAUAAAAAUUUAAACAAUUUUCAUAAGAAUUGAUAUAAACUAACCCUAUAAAUAAUUUGAUUUAUAAAUAUAAAUUAUAAUCUCAUAUAAUAUGAGUUAUACUCUUAAAUAAUAAUUUCAUGUAAUAAAAAAAAUUACAUACACUUUGUUUGAUAUUUGCAAUUGAAAAAUGUGGUUCACUUGAGUCACUUCGUGAAACAGUUAAUUCGUGAAACAACGUAAUCAUGUUUGUUUUGGGGAAUUGCUCAUUAUACGUAUACGAAUGAAACACGUAAAAUUUUUCAUUUCAUAGUCUUCUUGCAGGAAAUUUGAUGGAACUAUCAAAGUCAAUGGUCAUGACUGGCUGCCCCCUCUCUACAUGAUGGCUAAAUCAAUUAGUGUAGAUAUCACAGCAUUAAUUCAGUUCGAUUCCAAAUCCCCAAUUAGUUCUAAAUUAAUUUUUAGAUUGUUUUUGGGAGAUCUAAAAGAGAUUUUAAAAUUUUAAAAGUUAAUUUUAGUAUUUUAUAAUUUAUUUUUGAAAUUACCUUUGAUAAGAUCAUCUCAUCCUAUAGUAAAUUUGGAGAAGUAGUUUUAUAUAUUAUAAAAAUUUAAAAUUAUUCUUAUUAAUUAAAAAAUAAAAUUAUUAAUUUUAAAGAGAUUAUUAUUAUUAUAAACUAAGGUAAAAAAAUAAAUUACUAAUAUAAACUAUAUACUUUAAUUUUUAAUUAUUAUAUAUUAACAAUACAAAAUGUUUUUUAUAUAUAUUUAAAAAUAUGUAAAUAAAUUUUAUUCAACAUAAUGUCUAGUUUAUUUAUUUAUAUUCUCACAAUAAUUUAACCAUAAGAUUUAUUAAAAUACUUUUAAAAAUAAAUUUUAUCAAAUAUUUAAUUAAUCUCUUAAUAAUAAAUUAUUUUUACAGCACUAUUAAAAAUAAUUAUUUCAAAAGUUACAAUAUCACCAGUUUCAAAAAAAAAACAAUUCACAAUAUCACCAAACUGCUCCAAAAGUCUUCGUACACAUCCCGACGUUUUUUUUUGGGGGGGGGGGGGGGGGAAAUAAUUGGGCAUAUGCGGGUCCCACAUGCACAAAUCAAAAAAGAAAGUUGGCCUUUUGGAUUCACGGCCUCUUGAUUUUUCAGUCGGAAACCAGAUCGAUUGCCAACCAAGAUUCAUUUACAUGUUUAUAGAAUCAGAUUAUUAUUAUUAUUCAGACCCAAAAAAAAAAAGAUUAUUAUUAUUAUUAUUAUUAUUAUUAUUAUUAUUUUGGCAAUAAACUUUUCUUCAGAGCCCACCCCCAGAAAAAAAAAAAAAGUUAGCUUUGAUGCAUAUUCAAUACGCACCCUGAUAAUGUUUUAGAUGCAACUACAAUCUUACUAGUUUAAAGUGGUCUAGAUGAAGCACCUUGAACAAGGCUAAAAUCAGAGCAGGAUUUCAGAGGAAUAAACGAUUGAGCAUCGAUGACACAACUCCUCCCUGAAAAUGUUAAGGUUUGUGUGCAGCUUUUGUUACUUUCUUUGAUUCUUUCGCAAUAGCAUAAGUGGCCAGCAGCCAAGAAACUCCUUCAUCAGAUGCUCUAAUGACUAAUAUCAUCAUUUUACAAAACCGAAAUCACCGGGAUAGUUUAUGAACUUAGGGUGCGUUUGGGAUUGAGGUUGCACUAAAAUAUUUAGUAAAUAUUAACUACUGUAGUUUGGAAGUUAUGUUAAUAUAUUUUUUCACUUGUAUCUAGGGAUGGCAACGGGAAUGGGAGGGGAGGGGACCAAUCUCCCCGUACCCAUCUCCGAUAUUUUGCGUAUGUCCAUGUCCCCGUCAGAAUUAUUUGAGAGAAUCCACAUUUCCUCCCCGAAUAAUAACAGGAAAUCCUCGAGGGUCCCCGAUCCCUGAAUAACUAAUACAAUUUUUUUUUUCGAUUUUGAGUUAAUCAUAUUAAAAUAAAAAAUUCAAAUAAAAGUAAAGUUCGAAAUAUAUCUUACAUUAAUAUCCAUUACAAAAGUCACAUACAUUAAAUUAGUAAAUAACGCAGCAUGCAAAUGAUACAAACUUCUUUUACAAACUAUCAUGAACAAAUUAAUAGUCUAAUACAAAAUUGUUACAAAUAAAAUCGAAUUUAUAUUCAAAAUUAACUUUUUCAAUGGUGGCAUGGACACUUUAUAAAUGUGGAUUAUUCUCUUUACAACACAAUAGUUAAAUCGGAGCAAAUCAAGAGCAAAUAUUAGAUUAGAUUAAAUUAGAUAUUAAAAUUAUGAUUCGCUGUGGGUAAUUAUAACAUCUAAAAAUAAAUAAAAAAAUAGAUUUAAGUUUAAAAUAUUUAAAGAAUAUUAAAAUUAAAAAAUUUUGGGCUAAUAGAAUCUACUCGGUCUUUUUAAUGUCCUAAAUAAAAAUUUAGGACUUUAAUUAGUUAAUUAGGCCUAAAAGUUUAAUAAUAUAAAUAUUUUGAUAUUUUUUAUUUUUACCAAUAUUUAUAAUUUUAUAAUUUAAAUUUUAUUAUUUAUUUACUAGUAAUUUAAAAUAAAUUAAAUUAAAUUAAAAAUUAAAAUGGGAAAAUGGGGAGGGGAUGAGGAUGGGGAUUCCACCUCAUCCCCGUCCCCUCCCCGAAUAAGAAAUUGGGUAAAAAAAUUUUUCCGUCUCUUUCCUGAAUAAGAAAUUGGGUAUGAAAUUAUCCUUAUACCCUCCCCGAAUGGGGAAAAUCCCCGAGGGUACCCGUCUCCGUGAGGAUUUUUGUCAUCCCUACUUGUAUCAUGAAAAAUCUUUUAUAUUUUUAAUAAUUUUAUUAAAAUUAUUAUUUAAAAUUUAUAUGUACUACAUAUUACUAACUUUUAUUUCAUAAUUAUAAUUUUUUUUCUACAGCAACUACUCUGUAAAACCUCAAUCCCAAGCACACCAUUAACCUACCUCUCCAAACCGCCAUGUUGCCCAGCACCUUGACAGAAAGAAUAACUUCACGUCCAUAAAUUAAAACAAGCUUCUUAAUUUGGUAAUGGGUAAAAUAUAAUACCAGAUACACAAGGCAGAGAAGUCGGCGACCUUCAUAAUUUCGCAAGCUUUGUCUCGAAAAGUUGUCCUUUCUUUAUUGAAACCGUAGACAACUAUCGUCUUUAUUUUUAUUAUUUAUAUGACGUGUCGCCUUAGUUCUCUCCUACAGACGUUCUGUCGUCAAAUCUAUGGACCGACAUCAUCAUCGUUACGACGAUUCGUCUGAUUGAUUUUAAAAUAGACGUCUUGUCGUCUAUCCCCUCUGUUCACCUAAUGUUAAAAUUUCAUCUAUUUAAAAUUUUUAUCAUUUGUACACUAUGUUUUAAUUUUAAUUAAUUAAUUACAAGGCAAAUUUUUAAUUACACAUUGUUUUAUCUUCGGCUGCCUCUCAAAGAAAAGUGUGCUUGUCAUCAAAGAUAAUGCAAAAUGUUAAGGAAGCUCACUGUACAAAGUAAAAGAAGGAGAAGCUAAAGCUGACAAAGAUUAAAAAGUCUAUGAUGUCACAUGAUAGUAGGCAAAGUGACAGCUCAACUGCCAGCUCAGCAUAAAUUGUUGAAUUUGUUAUUAUUCAUUAUGUACACUUAAGUAUUGUUUGUUUUUUAGUCUGAAAUUUUAAUUUAACUUUUUUUAGAUAUUUAUUUAUUUUAGAUUGUUUGUCUUUUAACUUAUCACUUAUUGUCAGACAAUUUUAUAUGAAUCGAAAAAUUAGAAAAAGUCAACUUUUAUCUAAAGUUUAAAUGGAAAAUUUUAAUUUCAAAUCUCAAAAAUACCCUUAACAAUUCAUGUAUUUCCAAUAUUAUGUAUAAACUAAUAUUUUUUUAUUAUUCUUGAAGUUAUUUUUUUAAUUGCUUUUAUUUUUUAUUCACAUAAUAACAUUAACUAAACUGAAAUAUUGAACAAAUCAAAUUAUGUUUAUUGUGAUGAAUAAAAAAUAAAACAAAGUAUUAACUUUCUCAUAAAAGUUGAUGUUAUAAUUACAUCUUUUAUUACAAAAUUAAAUUAAGAUCAAUAAUGAUAGAUCUUUUUAAAGCUACCAAACUAAUCAACCUGUGAAAAUUAUAAAUUGUGAAGAACAAAUAUAUGCACCACUUAAAAGGAUAUAUAUGUCAAAUUACGAGCUUUUAAAUUUUUCUCUUCAAAUGUUGAAAAAAAAAAGUCAUUCGAAUAUCUUUAUUCAAAACCUAUUCAAAUUUCAACUAAAUUCAGACCUAUUUAAAUUUCAGAUAAAACAACAAACGCAACCUUAGUUGAAACUUAGCUCGUAUUAAUCAUUUUAGUUAGUUAUGAAUUAGUUACAAUAAUGAUGCCUAAGCAGUAAGUAUAUGUAAUACCCCACACCCGAUUAUUUUUUACUCUCCACCUAUAUAAAUUGAGCGUGAUUAAAAGUUCAAGUAGUCGGAUGUAUUUUCAUCACGGGGACCGGUAUAAGUUUAAUUUGUAUUAAGUUUAAGUGGAAAAAAAAAGGGAAAUUUACGAAAAUAACCAUAAAUAUUUUGUUAUUUAUGCAACUAAUCCUCUGAACUUUUUUCUAUCAACAUUAGCCAAACACAAGCCUUUCUCCCUAAAUUACCCUUCUUUACAGACCAAAACUAAUCGGCAUCGUGGCAUGAGUUAUUUUCAAACUUAUUGAUCUGAGUCGGAGGAUGAAUCUGAUGACAGGGUGCCUGUCGCACCAAAACUUGAAGUUGUUCAUGAUGAUGUUUGUGAUUCGUCGGAAACGGUGGCGUUUUGGCCGGAAAUUUGAGAUAAGUUGUAACUGUUUGGUGAUGCUUAGAUUCCGGCGAUGGGUUGGUCGAUCGGAGGUGGGGAAUAACGAAAGAGGUUGAGCUCGUGGAGAGGAGUGGAUUGAUUACGGUGGUGCUGGCUAAAUCGCGGCGGAAACCGGUGAAUGACGGAACGGUUGGCGCGGCUGUUUUGGUUGUUUUUCCGGCGAUCUGUGGCUAAUCAACGGUGUCCGAUGCUUGGGGUUUGAUGGCCGGCAAUUUAUGAUCCGUUUAGUGGUGGUUGCGUCCGGAUCGGUGACGGAAAACGAGAGCCGGCAACCUUGGACGGUGGCCGCGGGCUGAAGCUUUUGUUUCUGUUCUGUUUCGGUUUUUUUUUUUUUUAAAUAAUGAAGCUAAACGGAAGAAAACAAAAAGGUGAAAGGAAAAGUAAUCUCUCACCCGCGUCGAAGUCGAGAAAAGUUAGAAGCAAUUUGGGCACGAAGAUUAUGGAAGGAAAAGUAAUCUCUCACCCGAUGGAUUUGCAGGUGAAAGCAUUAAUAAUAAUAAUGCUGAUAGAAUACAACUUGACAAAUUUUCCAUCUUAAAAUCAUGCAACAAGCCGCAAAAGAUUAGAUUUUUUUUAAAAAAAAAAAUCAAGCUUUUUGGCCACAGAACAAGUUUUUUGGGGGAGAGAUGAAGGAGGGGUAUUUUGGUCUCAAAAGUUAUUUUAUGGCUAAUGUUGAUAGAAAUAUUUUUGAGGGGUUAAGAUGAAAAAAAUCAAAACUUUAAUGGUUAUUACUGUAAAUUUCCCAAAAAAAAAAGAAAGAAAAAGAAAUCGGGUUUUAUAUAUGGAAAUGGGGGAAACUAUUUUUGAUUUACAAAGAAAGAGGGAGAAGGCACGAGAGAGAGAGAGAGUGUGUUUGACCCGGUUUGACCCGCAACCCGACCCGGAACCCGCGACCGUGACCCGGCAUUUUCUCCCGAUUCCGGCCACCUCACCGGCCGUGCUUGGUACCGAUUUGAAGCUUGAGAGAUGAGCUACGUAUCCAUGCCGUCCUUGCCGCCGGAAAUCGAUCGGAAAGUCACCGAUCAAAGCUUUGAAGUACUGCGGAAUCGCCGGCUCGAUUUGCCGUGAUUUCGUCGGUUUCCGGUGAAGCUAUCACUUGGGUUUUGUUCCUUACCUUUCCCUCUGCCAUUUCCGACUAACCACUGACGCCGGGGACGUCGUUUUGCCGUUGAUUGGCCAUUGAUGGUUUCACGACUUUGGGAGCUCGAUUUGUCGCCGUUGCCGCGCGUGGGAGGUCACGGCCACCACCAUUGGACUCAGCGUGGCUUGAACUAUUAGACCUAAGCUUUCCGUCGCCGUCGGAUGAAUUCCGGUGACCGUUGACCGGCAAGGGUAUUUUGGUAAUUUCACAGUCUAAGGGUAAUUUUGUAAUUUCAGAUUUUGUGGGUAUUUUGGUAAUUGUUGUAAUUGAGGAUAAAGUUGGUAAUUUAUGAUUUUGAGGUUAAUUUGGUAAUUUUGAUAUGAGGGUAUUUUGGUAAUAUUGAAUUCAAGGGUAAUUCGGUAAGUUCAUAAACUUGAGGGUGAAUUUGUAAUUUGUGGAAUCAGUGGAUAAUUUGAUAAUUUUAGGUUAAGGCAGUGAGAUAAUUUGAGAUUACAAGGGUAAUUCAGUAAUUUAAGUGUUAAGGACAUUUUGGUAAAUUUACGCUCCGAGGGUAAUUUCGUAAUUUCUGCCAUUGUGGUUAAUUAUGUGAUCUGAAUUGAGGACAAUUUAGUAAUUGAAGAUUCUGAAGAUAAUUUGGUAAAAUAAUGAUGUUGGGGGCAUUUUGGUAAUUUUGGCAUGUAGGGGUAUUUCGGUAAUUUUGUGCAUGCGGAAUAGUUUAUUGUUGAUAGAUAUUCGUUUCGAGAAUUAUUAUGUAAGAUUAGUUGUAUUUCAAAUUUACGGAGAAUGAUUAUGGCGUUUCCUUGAUUAGGAGGAUCCGCGAACGAGAAUCAACCCGCAAACGUUGUCGACACCGAGUCUGGACAUUGUCACUGUGAGUGGAAUAUACGAAACCUAUUUUUAGAGUUAAUUAUGAUAGUAAAGCGUGUUUGCGGAAUAAGUAUUUUAAUUGUUCUGAUUUAAUGAUUUCUUGAAAUGGAUUUAAUGUGAUUUCCUCGAAAUGGAUUUUAUUCACGUGUUGAUAUUAUAUUAAAAUGUUUGGUUAAUGAUUUUGCGUAUCGAUUGUAAAUAAAGAGUGAUAUUAUUUGAAAGCUAAGAAAAGUGGAUUCAAAUGUGGUAUGAUUUAAAAUAUGAUAAAGAGGUAUGUGAAUAUGAGUACAGUGAUUGUUUUUGAAAUCAUUAGAUAGUACCCUUCCCCUCCAGAUACAGUGAUAUAAAUGAUAUGAGAUGAGAGGCUUUUGAGGCCCGUCUGAACACACAUAGAGGCUUUGGGCCGUGUGCUUGGGCGCUUUUGCCUUUUGGGGGCAUAUGCAUGCGGUAUGAUGAUUAUAGUGAUACAGUUAUUGAGAUACAGUGAUACAGAUAUGGCCUACAGAUAGUUAUUGAGAUACAGUGAUACAGAUAUGGGAUACAGAUCAGUUAUUGAGAUACAGUGAUACAGAUAUGGGAUACAGAUCAGUUAUUGAGAUACAGAGAUACGGUGAUACAGAUAUGAGAUAUAGACAGUUGAGAUACAGAUGAGAUAUAGGCCUUUGGGGCCCGUCUGAGUACACACAGAGGCUUUGGGCCGUGUGCUUGGGCGCUAUUGUCCUUUGGGGAUUAGAUUAUGCAUGCACAGAUAUAAUGAGAUAUGAAAUAGUAUUUCCUUGUCUAUCUGUGUAGCUCCGGGGUGUGACGUUACCCAGAUAAUACGUCAUUGCCCGUCCGUUGAGGUUCGGAUAUGACGAGAUUAUUUCCCUGGGUACUUGUUUGAUGAUAGUUUUGGUAUUCAGUAUUUGAUAUGAUAAGUAUUAUGUUUCCAUCGAUUUUAUGCAGAUUUAUGUAAUAUAGUAUUUCAGUGACUGAUUUGAAUUAAAUAAGUUUAUAUAAGUUCUUAUGAUAUUCUGAUGAAAUUGAUUUGAGAAAUUGAUUUGGGAAAGAUUAAAUCAUUUUAAAAGAAUUGAUUUUCCAAAAUUUCUAUCCACUCACUGAGUUCACUGAGUUUUAUACUCAUUCCACUUUUAUUAUAUUUUCUCCCCCCCCACAGGAGAAUUGCAGGUACAUCAGUCGACUCAGUAACGAAUGUUAGUUUUGAAAUUGUGACCACGUGAUGGUGUUAGGAGUCGCAGAUUUAAUAAUUUUGAUUUUUGGAUAUUGUGAGUUGUGUUUAUUUAUUAUAUUUUGUAAUUAAGGAUAACCAUUGAUUUGGGUGAUGUUUGAUAUGUUGACUUGAGAAGUCGGUUGUGGAGGAUGGAAGAAUAUUGAAUUAUUUUAGGAGUAUUGUUUUGUAAAUUGCAGGUUGGGAAUGUUUUAUUUAUAAGGGAGAUUCUGCCAAAAUUUUUAUAGAAUUCUUAGAUUUCGUUAAUAGUAUCGAUUCGAUUUUACGAGUUUAGAUAGACUCGCCCUGGGGGUGCGGGGCGAGUCGUUUCAGUUGGUAUCAGAGCAUGGUUUUAGAUUCUGUAGAUUUUACUGUCGUAAAUAGAAUAAGUUUUAUUGUUAUUGUUAGGGCCACAGCGUCCUCGCUGUGCACACUGUUCAAGAGGCACCCGACAGGGCUCCGCUCUGAUACCAUCUGUCAAGACCCGGCCCAAGUCCACUAGAAUAUUGUCCGCUUUGGGCCGUAGCCCGCACGGUUUUAUUUCCAGGGAAGCCCAUACUACCCCAAAAGGCCUCCUAGCAACUCAGGACUUGUCCCCCCUUAUAGCCCAGGUUUCACCUCCGUGCUUUGUCAAAGUGGGAUCUCUCAGUAUAAAUUGAUGUAAUUGUAACAUUUUGUUUUAAGCAAUAAAACUAAGAAAUCUGGAACAUUCUCUGAGAUAUUUUUUGAGCCACCAAACAACUCCAUUUCUGUUUCUUUCACAAAAGAUCCGCGAAGUAUGCUGGCUUAAUGCUUUGAGCUACUCCUAUGACACUAUUUUGAUUGUUCUGUACUGCCGCCCAAACGGAGCAUCUAAAUUUCCCAAACUCAUUAUCUAAUAAACUCCUAAACAACAACUAAAACUAAUAAAUUUUUGUUCCAAUGCUAAGCUGAGAUUUUUAUAUAUAUAUUUUUUUCAUGCACGUCCACAAAUGCGUAAUUAAGAUUUAAUACAUGUUAUAUUUUUUUCCAAUAACUACCAACCAUAGUAUUAACAAAGCAAUAAGGUUUUUGUCGUUCUUGGAGUAUUGUGUCUUAUCCCUUUAAUUCUUUCCACAUGGGCAGCCUAUUAUCGUGACUGUUGAAGUACAUAUGUGAUUGAAUGGAAAAAAGACAGUAUCCCAUAAGCAUCCAAGAUUUGCACAGAGCUAAGCUCAAUCUUAAAUUCAAAUCAAAACUCGCACCACUUCUUUGAGAAUGAAGGAGCAAGAAAAAUAGUCCUAAUAUAGCGCCCAAAAAUUACCAAAAAAAUGAGAUAAGAGAGACGAUGAUUUUUUCUCUUUGCUAUAACAUUUUCUGCCAAACCGACUAGGAGUAUUUUUUACUUUAUUUUAUUAUCUAAAAUUUACAUUAAAGACUCUGUCUUUAACAUCUGACUUAAGUUUUUGAGGAUUAUUGAGAGUUACAACACUGGCACACUUUACAAUUACGACUACGUUAUCGUGUUACAAUUAUAAUUUUGUUCUUUGAAGCCGAAAUUUAGCAUCAACAUAAUUGAUUAAGGAACUAGAAUUUGCAUCUUCAAUUUAAACAUAAAAUUUAAGUUAACACAUAUAUCUACCGUAUAUUAAAAGUAAUGUGUUUUCAAUUGAAAAUAAGUAGAAUUGGUGAGCAGGGGUGGCUCAAUCAUAUUUUAGACCCUAGGCAAAUUGUUUUAAUUAGGCCUUCCAAAAACUUUGAGGUAAAAUGUAUGUAUUAAUUUUAUUAAAAUUUUAUUUAUUUAAAAUUAGUUUCUCUAGCUUUUGAGAUGCAUAAUUAUUAAUCAAAUUUUUAUAUUCUAAUUUUCCUAACAUAUCUUUCUCAAUAGACAAUAUAGUUAACAUAUUUAAUCUUUCAUAUGAUAUAUUUGAUCUUAAAUAAGCUUUUAUCAAUGGCUCCUUUUUGAGAUUAAACUAACUUUUCUAUUCUUCUCUUGUUUUUGAAGUUUUUUGUAUCCUAAUGCAUAUUUUUUUAGUAGACAUUUUUUUUAGUGAAACAAAAGUAAUUAAGCAAACAAUUAUGCUAGAUAAUUACAAGAAAACAACCUAUGAACACAAUAAUACUUUUAAAAAGAAACAAAAACAACUGAAUAACAUAAUUAAUUAAUAAGAGAAUGGAAAGAUAGAACCUAGAAAUUUGAGAACUUUACUUUGUUGUAUUGAGCCUUUGAGCAGCAGUGAAUGAUAAGUGAAUAGUAAAAUAAUUGAUUUUUUUUAAAGUGAAAAGUAGGGUAGAGAAAGUAGUUUUUUCACCAAAGCAAUGAAGGUUUCAUGUAAUUUUUUUUAUUGGAAAAAGAUAUUAAUGGAUAAUAAUUUUAAAAAAAAUGUGGCCUUUAUAGAGUUUUAGAUGAAAUAUAUGGAAGAAAUAAAUGGGAUUAAAAUUCUUAAUUAUAAUGUUAAAAUGUGACUUUGUAAGGAUUUAGUAGUUUGUUUAUGGAAAAUAUAAAAAAAAAUAAUAUAAAAAAAAAAUAAAUAACUAUAAUUUAGGAAUAAAAUUAGGGACAUUCAUCUAUAGUGGGGCUCUAGACAACCGCCUAAGUUGCCUAGAGAAAGAGCCGCCUAUACUGGUGAGUUUACUAAAAAGUAAAAAUGGGUUGAGAAAGAGAGUUUACAUCUAGCUUCCGUCGAACCAAAAUCCUAAUAAUAACGUUGCAAAGUUUCACUAAGAACCUGUCACAUGUGAGUGUGGUUAAAAUAUAGUUGCAAGAACAGCUGAUGUGGCAGCCAACUGCGCCAAAGUUAGUUACAAAAUUGCUAGCUCAGCUAUGUCUGUUUGGAAUUCUGUAAUUACUGUUUUCUUUAUCAAAUUCUCUUAGCAUUAGCUUUGCAUGAUUCGGUUAUUAAUUAAAAUGGUUGCUAAAAUAGUACUUUAAAGACGUAUGUUUUUAACUAAUAUUCAUUAAUUGAAUCAGAAGAAAGAGAAUGAUUUUUUUUUAAAUGUUUUGGAAUUCUGUAAUUAGUGUUUUGUUUAAUAAUAUAAUAAGGGUAAUUAUCUUAGCAUUCGUUUAACAUGAUUCGCUGAUGAAUUAAAAUGAACUCCAAAUUGUUGAAAUAGUCCGUCAAAGACGUUUGACUUUGACUAAUCUUUCAUUAAUUGAAUCAGAAGAAAGAGAAUGAUUUCCUUUAAAUGAUUAACGUGGCAUGUUCUUGAGUUUAAAUCGAAUCUAUGACCCUUGGCCAUGCAUUAUUUUUAUCUGUUGAUAUAAGCGUGUCCACAUUCUGUAUUCUCUAGUAAAGGAGUUUGUGCAUUUGGCUAGUAGUAUCCUCCUUUGACUUAUUAAGGGAAAUUUGAAAUUAUUGUGCAGGGACUUUAUCCACUAAUAACGCAAAUAAAAUUGUUAGCUAUUGACUAUAAGAGGAUGAUUUGUUGUUAAAGUGAAAAUUGAUGUCUAGUAAAGGAAAAAUUCCCGAAUAUUUCCUGUGUGGAUACCCUCUCUCUUGAUUAAAUGAGAGCAGCACAUUGUAAGAAUCAAAUGGAAGAGGGUGAAAGAAAGAAACUUUCUGUUUCACUCUAAAUAGCAAUAGAACAAAUUACAGUUUACAUACGUAUUUGAAUGUGAUAAAUAUAAGUAACAAUCCCUAAUAGGUAAUAGUGAAAUUGACUCGCUGGUAGCUUCAUCUUCCGGUACCUGCAAUGCUGAAAGGAGGGCAUAGGGGAUUAGGAACUUCCAAAAGACCUUCUAACAUUUGCAAGACCUUCUAACAUUUUCUUUUUUAAAAUUCUAUUACUGGCUUAAUGUCAUGCGACAAGUGUUUUGCGUAGCAAACCCGUGCGGCACUUAGGUAAUUUUGUCGAAUGUUGCUAAGUAAGCCUUGAGCUUCUCGACUAGCUAAGCCUAGAAAUUUUCGAAGAGCUAGAGAAAAGAGAGCAAUGGAAUUGAAUAAGUCAUAACCAAUUCUUAUUAUUUUUGAUACGUUAAUUUUCCAUGUUUAUCACCUGGACCCCCCCCCCCCUCUUUCAUAACAAGUAACGGACAGCUAGCUUAUCAUUUUCAGUAAUUUAAUUAGUAACAAUAAAAUUGCAUAAUUCUGCCCUUGUGUAUGUGCUGAAUGGACUGUUCGCACCCCUAUGGUGUAUUAAUGGGCUUAAUAAAAUUAGUAGUCCGUUAUAUUUGUACAAAGAAGAUAUGAUACCCAUUUUAAAAGAUUAUUUAAGAUACCCCUAAGAAUUUCGUCGUUUUAAAUUCUUGACACGCAUACCUUUGUUUGUUUGUUUUUUUUUAAGUUUCAAACGCAGCUCAAGCGCUCAUCAAGAAUCAAUGGUCGACUUAGAUCUAAAAUAUUGAAAAAAUAUCAUGAAUAGCAUGCGAUUGCAUAUUCUUACAUAGGCAAUCAACGGGUAAAAGUUUAAAAAAUCUCCAUCGUUGAAAUAUUGACAUUUUUACUGUUAUUUUUUUCUUUUUGAUUUUUUUAAUAAUAUUAUCUUCUUAAAAUAAUAUUCCUUUUUAAGACAUUAUUAAAAAAAAUAGAUUAUUAAUUUAUCCCCAAAAUAAAACAAAAACAAAAAGAAUAUAUGUUAAUUUUUGUGAUUAAUAUAUAGAGAAAAGCCUGUUAGAUGAUGUCCCUUUCAUUUCAAGCCUGGGAUUUCUAUUCACAAAAAAAAAAAAAAAAAAAUUGGGGUUUCUAUAUUUUGGCCCUUGCCGCACCACUUCCUGAAUGGCGUAUGACGAACUUGUUCUUUCUUACAUAAUUUCCAUUCAAGCAUCGUCAUCUUCUUUAGGGGGUUCAAGGUUCAAGUCAAAAAAUGCAAGCUUUUCGAAGCCUUUUCCUCGAACCAGCCCAGUACCAUUCUUAUUUGCCUCAUCAGUCUUCGUAACUGUACAUAAAAGAGCAAAGAAAUUGAAAGAAGUGUGUCAAAUACAGAUGAUGAAACAGUGCCGGAGCUUGAAAAUUUAUGAAAAUAGAGAAAGACCUGCGCUAGCUGCGGCGUGUGUCACCAAGGACUUGUGUAAUCUGACGGCGCUUGGAAACAUCAAUGUGUUAUACUUGAUUAAUUCCGUCAUCAAAUUACUCUCAAUGUGGGUAAAUCCAUACUUGUUGAUCCACAUUGGGACAAGUUCAGGGACCGAUGGAAUUACAAGGUUUUCCACAUUGAGCAUACGAAGAGCCUGAAAAUUAGAUUCGCAUGAGAGGUUGUACCAAGCUUUAGAAGGUCAAAUGCCAAUAUCAAACAGACUAAGCAGAAGGUUAUUCAGCACAAUGAAAUGAACAAUAUGACACAGUGCCAGCUGGGUGUAGCUUAAGGCAUCAGCACUCACUGAUUCAAUUUGGGCCAACAGUUUCUGCAGCAUUCUUCUUCCCCUGAAUCUUUCACGGGUUCCGAUAAAUGGCAUCUCGGCAAACUUUGUCCCAUGUACUCUGUACAAAUAAAGUGAAUACUCCAAGUUAAACGAAAGCAUGUAGCUGCAAAACGCAUGUAUAUAUGUACUGGAUCAUACCAGAACACAUGAAAUGCCAGUAGCAAUCAUACCUUAUUGAUGCCACGGAGAUAAAUUCAUCAUUCCUCUCCAGUAUAGCGGUGUAAAAACCUCUAAAAUUUACCCGCCUCAGGUUAGACCUGAAAGAGAGAAUUUAGAAGAAGGAAAAGGCUAUGUGUAAGCAUUUUCUUGAAUGAACAAGAGUGACAGAAAGAUUUAACGGAAGGAUCUAAAGCGCUUACUCUCGAUUGUAGAUGACACUUUGAGUGAUGUUAAUACCAGUGUAGCGGUCAAUAACUGGCAUGAAAAUUUCUUCCAUGACCGUCCAUGCUACAGAAACUUUUGAGUUGCCUAUUGUAAUCUCAUGCAAAAUCUCCCCAUUCGAAUGUGGGUCCCGAUCUAGCUUCAUCUGGACAAGACUCCAAGUAUAUCCAUCAGCAAGCUCUUUUCGGACUCCCAAAUGCUUCUCUUGGAUCUCCGAGAAAACCUGUUCACAAAUUCCUUUUCGAAAUUAAAGCAUACAUGCAUGCAUUAAGGUGUUUUAAUUUAAAAAAAAAAAGAAUGCCCAUGAAUGUGUGUAAUAAAGAAUUCACAAAUACCUCUUCACAACUCUUCCCACAAAAUUUGGUUGGUGAAUCAGGACUAGAUGGUUGUCUUGGAGAAUUAAUACAGUCCAGGUGAUCUGUAUCAAGAAUAUAAGUUAGAACUUAGAACUUCGGCACUAUCCAAAUAGUGCUAUUUCAAAAUGUGCUUUCUAAUGAUGUACUGUCAAUUAAUUUCCACAUUGAAAUUUUAUGUGUGUUAGUGAGUAAAGAAGCUGUUCUCUUUCUUUCACAUCAGCUACGUAGCUCAAUUACUGCUCUUAUCACAAAGAAAUUAAGCAAGUGUAAAACCUUACAUCUCCUUUGACAUUGUUUGCAUUCGUGCAAAUCACCUGGCCCGCCAGUACCACAAAAUUUGCAAAUGCAGAAAGGACACAGCCAUUCUCCUUGCGGUAUUUUCUGCAUUCACUCCAAUUUCUUAAGAUUUUGCAACUAUAUAUGCAAAAUAAUAAUAAUACCAACAAUAAAUGAACAAAAUCCAACCUUCAUGCCCAUGCAAUCUGGAUGAAAAGUAGAGGGACAUUUCUCACAACAAAUCAAGUCACCCCCAUCAGCGCAAAUCAUACAGGCAUCAUCGUUCAAGUCAGAAGCAUCUUUCUGAGGCUCAACAAGGUUAAAUCCACAGCGUGCCAGUUCUUCCGGACGCAGUAACCCCUUGUAAUAAAUCCAACCCAAGAGAUGACAUCCCCAAUCCACUAAGUAGAUGUGGGCAUAUGGCUCCUUAACAUGACCUUCGUUGGCAUGUUCUUCAAACCCGUACACAGUAAUCACCUUAUGACAGCAAUUACAACGCACACCGUCUCUCUUAAUGGUUCCUUCUAUAAUCUUUUCUUUAUCGCGGAUGUACCAAACUCUCAUACCUUCGAAAAUGAUCCCCAGGUCUAUCAUCCAUGAUAGUAUUGUCCUUUUCUUGGAAAACACUCCCCUGUUGCUCUUGUUUGAUGCACCUGGCCUUCGACGCAGUAUCCUUCUUCUUCUUGUUGCAACAACACCACUAUUCCUUCUCGAACUUCCAAACUCAGUAGCCUGGUUUGGAUUAUUAAUGCACGGGUUUAUAUUGAAGUUCUUUCGAGAGCUCCUUUGAUAACUUGUUCCAGCUACGUAGUCAGGAUCAGAAUAGCUGGAAUCAUAAUCCUGGCUUUCUGAUGAGCUGCUUGAUACUUCUAAAAUUCUCUUCUGUUUCCUCUCCCUCAUAUUGCUAAUUUGGUUACUGUAAAAAUAUAACUGAAACAUAGACAAAAGUAAAUGCCGGUGUAGAAUGCUAAUAAAUUAAUAAAAAUAUCAAAUCAUGCCUAUGAUUUUUUAUGUGUAUAUAUAUAUAUGCAACACUCAAAUCAAACUCGAAAUCAUGCAUAUAUUUCUGAUACGUUUCCAUUUUAAUUUCCUUCUUUGUUCAGAUUAGCAGUUUUUAUCUGAAAUCUCGAAUCAUAAGUGCAUAACUAGUAGAAAAAGAACAGCUAGCUUCUCAUUUAUAUUGAUUUAGUAACUAUUUAUGUAAUUGCAUAGUUCUCCUUUUGUGUUUGUGCUUUCUUGUGAAUAGUGGAAAUUCCAUGCUAUUUCGUAAUGCAAGAAUGAUCAACUCAAUAGCGAUUACAAACAAAUCUUAGAUUAGUCAAAAUAAUUCCAUGCUGCUGUGAAAACAUUUUUAUGCGUAAAUGACUAGAAACGCCUAUUCAGAUUUAUACUACAUUAACUUUAAAUUCAUGCAUUAGACUCACAUUACUACAAAAAUUAAUCAAAGUAAAUAAAAAUAAGAUGUUUAUUAUAACAAUAAUGUUUGGGAUCAAUAUUAUAAUAAAAAUAAGAUGUUUUUUUAUAAAAUUAAUCAACAUUUGAAUCCCAACUUGAGUGUCAAUGUUAUGUAUCAUUUAUCUAUUGGAUGAUAAAUUUCAUUGCUAGUAAAAUUACUUAAUCAUUAUCUAAUGGAUGGAUACCACAUUAGUUGGGAUUCAGAUUGGGGAGAAAUUCUAGAAUACAUCAGAGAUACCAUGUUAGCCAUACAACAAGUAAAUAAUGUUAUGACAUGUGUGCAUUUAGUUUGAAAAACCAUCAUGCAAAUGGUAAUUACAUUAAAUUCAACUACACAUGACAUACAUGCAUGAAUUGGUUGUAAUACAUCAGAGGUAUUUUAAAAUUUCUCUAGAUUGGGACUUAUGACGUGGGACAUCUAGCAUUGCUCUUAUUAAAAUAAUCAUUAUGAAAGUACUCGAUAACUAGCUUAUAGAAAUGAACCAAACCAAACAGAAUCGGUUUAUCUUGUUUUGGGGAAAAUCUAAAAUUUCAACUUUAAUUGUGGCUUCCAUAAAGUAAAUUAACAUUAUCAGUUCAUGCAUAACACACACAUACACAUUCAUAUAUAUAUAUAUAUAUAUAUAUAUAAUAUCUGAAAUAGCGAUUGUCUAGAAAUAUUACCUAAGAUAUUUUUAAGGUGGCCACCACUUUAAAUUCUCAAAAUGCAAGCAAUUUCUUCAGCAUUUUAACUACGGAUCGUCAAGAAUGAUUUAAAAUUUUCAGAUCUAGAAAAUCUUCUCAUACACAAAGAAUCGGUAUACUAAAUUUAAACAGUGAAAAAAAUAGUUCUUUAAUGAAAAAUAAAAAAUGAAUAAAUUAUUUGAUGGCAGUGAAGAAAAUUUUAUUUAGAUUGCGAGUGGCUAAAGGGUGGACAACGAGAAUAAAUAAGAGGGAAUCAGAAAAUGAGGGAGAGAAAGUGCAAGAAAACGAGUAGAUGAGUAAGAAAAAUGUAUAUAGAGUAGAUGCGAAAGAGAAAGAAGAAUAUAUAUAGAGUAGAUGCGAAAGAGAAAGACAUGAGGCAAUAGCGUGUAAAUCGCAUGCAAGUCUAUUUGUCUUUGUGGCAUUGAAUUUGAAAUAUAUUUCAUGGAAAGUGUUGAAUUAGAUUUUUGCAUUUCUUUCCUAAAAAAAAAAUUGUAAAAAUAGUGAUAGAAUCACAAAUUUUUAUACAAACUGACUUGGCACAAUCAUAUUAGUUAAAAUAAAUCGUGCGGACUGCGGCAUGUUUUGAUCUAAUCAAUAUCUAGUUAUGUCAUAUUAGUUUGUAUAAGAAUUUGUAGCUCCAUUAUUACUCAUAACUACAUAACCUUAAGAUGUACUUGAAGAGUUUUUUUUUUUUUUUUAAUUACAUGAGACUAUUACUCAGAUUACAACUCAUAUUUCAUACAAAUCUUAUAUAGCAUUGUCCAUAUUUUACCCUUUCUAGAUUUUACAAAUCUUAUAUACCACUUACUGCCUUCAAUCACAUUGAGAAAUGAAAUUAAACCCCCAUAAUGCGUGUUUAUUAGUCUAUUACUCAUUUACAUCAUCUUCAUUAUUUAGCUCUAUAUUGAUUAUUUAUAUAUGAAUUGUUUAAUGAGUUAUAUUUAUAAAAGGACGCAUAUAAACAUGAUUUUAUGAAGUCAGGAUCUAGUUUUCGUAAUUAGCUCGGUUUAUUAAUUUGCAACUCUUACACAUAAAAAGACUUAUGGGCAUUGUAAAUUUAUAAUGUUAGGUUACAGGCAUUGGCCAAGUGUUAAAAAUAAUAAUACAAUUUUAAAAAUCUAAUGCUACCAAAUCGCUAAGUACUAUUAGUUUUAUGUUUUUAAAGUUCUUAAUAAAGAUUUUCACUUUAUCUUCUUAAUUAAAAAUUAGAAGCUCUGGAAAGGAACCAAAAAAUAAAAGAAAAAAAAUUAACGUCAAUGUCCAUGCAAUUUGAUGGAAAUAAGUAAAGGGAAAUUCCUCAUAACAAAUCAAAUUUUCGUUAUUUAAGAUACUUAAUUAGUACAUACGUUUAGUAUUAUUUUCGUACGCAAUACAUGAGUUAGGAGUAUUUUGUUAUUUAUGUCCGUUCAAAAGUUUUCAAAACAAUGAUAAUAAUGCGCGAAAAAUACUAAUAUUGCAAAUCUCAUAACGAUGACUAACCAGAGUUCAAUUCUUAGUUGCAGCACUACACUCACAAAAUUAAGAUGUGAGAUUUUUGUUAUAAUUGAUGUAGUAAAUGAUCUGGCAUUAUAACAUCUUCUCAUUGUGUCACAUGAGUACGCAAAUAUUCAUAUCUUAAUUCUAUCGGUAUAUAAUUUUUUAAUUCUUAGAAACAAAAAUUUAACUAAUAAAACGCCUUGGUUUGAUUCAUUUACAUAUUAUUAAAUUUGCCUAAAAAAAGUGAUGACAAAGUUACAAGCUCUUUUACAAAUUUAUUUUGUACAUACUGCUAUGGUUUAAAUUCAUUAAUUAAAUGAAAAUACAAAAUAAUAAAAAUAAAUCAGUGGAAUAAGAGCUGUUUAAUCCAACCAAUUAAGUUAUACCACACAAUUUAUACUAGAGGUAUUUUACUCUAUUUUUACUAAAAAAGAAAGAAAAUCUAUACUUUAUUUGGCUAGUAAUUUUCACCCAUAUUUAGAAUUCUCCUUGCAAAGAAAGAAAUCUAAUAUUUUUAUCAUCUUUAUUCUUAUUUAGUUUUCUUAUAAAAUAGUGUAAUUAUAACAGUAGUGUUCUUAUCCAUCUACCCUUUUGUAUAGUCAUCUCUACCCUUCUUUGGGUUCCUUUUUUAGUCUUAACAUUAAUUGGCUAGCCAUUUUUGCCCAUACAGAAUCCUCCUUGUAAGGAAAGAAAAUCCAAUAAUAUCAUCAUCUUUAUCCCUAUUUAGUUCUCUCAUGAAAGAGUUUAAAUGUGCUAGUAUUAUUCUUAUCCCAUAUACCCUUUUGCACAGUUGUCUUUAUCCAUGUCUCUGAGUUGUCUCUUAUAUGUUUUUCUUUUUUAUGAGUUGAAUAUUUAGUUAUUUCAUUAAAGGGUUUGAAUUAUAAAAUACCACACUUGUACAAAUAAAUUUUAUGUGACACUCAUUUAUUGGUACGUCACAUUAAUUGGAAUACGAAUUAAGAUCCAAUUAUUGGGAUCGCUAGCCCUAUUAUUAUUAUUAUUAUUAUUAUACGGUGUUCUAUCAUAUCUUAUGCAGAUGAUUGCCAUUAAAUCAUUUCUUUAAAAUGAAUAUUCAAGUUGUAAUAUAAGAGUAUCUCCAAAAGACUUUUUAGAUUUUACUCUUCAAAUGUCAAUUUACUUACAGAUCUGGUAAAUAAAUAUAUGAAAAAAUACAAUCUCCUCCAAAAGACUUAUCAAAGAAGAAUAAGUUAAUAUUAUUUUAAUUAAAUCAUUUCAUUAUUAAAUUAAAUUGCUGUUAUAUUUUUGAAAGGAAACAUAAAUAAUAAUUAUUGUAGUCUUAUCUUUUAAAUAAAUAAUAAUAAAGUAUUAAUAGAAGAGGGAGAAACUCACUCGACAAUAUUGAAGAGUGAGAAACAAAUCUUAUUUAAAGAAUCUAAAUUAACGUGUCUUUUAAAGUGUUUAAUAUUGAUAUGACUCUUCAAAUAAGAAUUAGAAUUUAAUUUGAAGAGUUUUUUGGAGAUGCUCUAAGUAUUGUAAAUUUCUUGAAUUACUAUAAAAUCAUUUGGAUGCAAAUUAGUUUAUUUGGUAAAAUGUCUUGAGUGAAAAAUAAGAAUUGUGAGUUCAAACGUCGCUAUAUGAGUGAGAAAGUAGAGUAAUGAUAGACAUCCCAAAUUUUAUUUUAAAUGAUGUGUCAUUCAUUAAGUAGUUAAUAUUUUUUUUCUAAAAUCCAAGUGAAUUAAUUGAAUUAUUUCACGAACUAAUUGAUGAAUGCCACAUCAUUUGAAAUAAUUUUUUAGAAUAAAAAAUUUAGGGUAUGGAGCACUACUGAAAAAAGUAUUUAGUUAUUCUUAGACUAAAAAACAAAUAAUAAUAAUAAUAAUAAUAAUAAUAAUAAUAAUAAUAAAUAAUAAUAAAAUAAUAAUAAAUGGCUACACUUCACUAUAAAUUUGCCACCUACAAUCUCUCAAGUUGCAGUUAACAAGCAUAUUAUCUCUCUUUCAUAAACCUAUCUUCUCUCCUUACCUUUCUUAUAGUUCUAAAGCUUUUGCCAAACAAACUAGAUGAACAAUAUGCUCUUCAGAAUACUUAAAAAUCAGUGAAAGCUAUUGAAUGGAGAGACCAUUUGAAUUACUCAAAUACUUCAUCACGUUUCAUAUUGAUUAUGAAACAAAAGUGUGGCCUCUUCUUAGCAGUAGUAUAGAAGAGAGAUCAAAGUGUUUGAAUUACAUCGAAUUAGUGAUUAACCAGAAUGUUUCGGUUGAAGCCACGCAUAGGUAUUUCUUUAUCCUUCGUUUUCUUUCUCAUUAAGUUUGAAUUUCAAGCAAUAACAAUUAUGUUUGACAAAAUAUGUACACAUUAUAAUAGGGAAAUAAAAAUUUAUAUUAUUUGCGCGAAGACCGAGGAUUGCGGCGGACACGAGAAGGUAUGCUGCAUAUUUAUUUUCUCUGUUCAUUGAUUAAAAAAGUGAUUUUUUUUGUCUUGGAUAAUAUCUUCUGUGUUUUUUCAAAACAUUAUCGCAUAAUUAUCUUCUUGUUUUGCCAUCAGGGCAAGAAAGCACCAUAAUUUGCAUUCAUAUAAACAACAAGAAGGGAUUUUUAUUAACAUAUUUUUAUUGUUUUGCCUUUGUCAAAUUCAUUCGUUCGCAGGAACUAUACGACUUCUAUAUUUUGGGAUUUCUAUAUUUUGGCCCUUGCCGCACCACUUCCUGAAUGGCGUAUGACGAACUUGUUCUUUCUUACAUCAUUUCCAUUCAAGCAUCGUCAUCUUCUUUAGGGGGUUCAAGGUUCAAGUCAAAAAAUGCAAGCUUUUCGUAGCCUUUUCCUCGAACCAGCCCAGUACCAUUCUUAUUUGCCUCAUCAGACUUCGUAGCUGUACAUAAAAGAGCAAAGAAAUUGAAAGAAGUGUGUCAAACAGAUGAUGAAACAGUGCUGGAGCUUGAAAAUUUAUGAAAAUAGAGAAAGACCUGCGCUAGCUGCGGCGUGUGUCACCAAGGACUUGUGUAAUCUGACGGCGCUUGGAAACAUCAAUGUGUUAUACUUGAUUAAUUCCGUCAUCAAAUUACUCUCAAUGUGGGUAAAUCCAUACUUGUUGAUCCACAUUGGGACAAGUUCAGGGACCGAUGGAAUUACAAGGUUUUCCACAUUGAGCAUACGAAGAGCCUGCAAAAUUAGAUUCGCAUACCUGCGCUGGCGGCUGCAGUGGCGGUUUGAAUUACAAGAUUUUCAACAUUAAGCUUACCAGGAGCCUGAAAGUCGAUCAGAUUCGCAUUAGAACUUGUUCCAGGCAGACAUAUAUUGAAAUGAAAAAUAUGACACAUACAGCUGAUUAUUAGUAGCUUCAGCACCAGCACUUACAGAUUCGAUUUGGGCGAAUAGUUUCAGCAUCAUUGUUCCUUUGUAGUCCCCGCUUCUGAACUUUUCACGGGUUCCGACAAGUGGAAUCUUCGCAAUCUUGGUCCCAUGGACCCUGUAAAACUGAAGUGAUGAAUGCUCCCAAGUUAAAUGAAAAUUGGCUGUUGUAAAAUAUGUAUGUACUGGAUUGAUUGUACGAGAACACACAGAAUGAAGUGAUGAAUAAUCCCAAGUUUUUCUUAAACUGAACCGAUUAGUUCACAAAAACUAAAAUAAAUAAAAUUUCAUAAAAAUUUAAUCUAAAUUAAUCAGCUCGAUUCCACUUUGCUUCCCCAGUUUAUUGUAUUCAAUUGAAAUAUUUGUUGAAAAGUUUAUUUAGAUAAUCACUGUAGUAUUGCUUGUGUUUAUCAAUUAUAUUUUCAUGGAUAUAUUUUAAAAAUAAUCUAACCACUAAACCAUAGUUAAGCUGGCAGAUUGAAUUAACCAUAAUUUUUAUCUUAUACGUUUACAUUAUUGGUUUUCUAUAUUUUAUUAUUAGUGUUUCUCGAAGCGAAAAUCAUAUUUAAAUUAUAAUAAUUUGAUAUAUAUUAUUAGUUUAGCAAAAUUUGGUUUGGGGAUUAAAAGGAAAAAAUUGGGAGAUCGAAUGACAAAGUUAAUCUCUUAACCAAUAACAAUAACCGUUCAUGCAAUCUUUGAAAAAAUGUAAAAUUAAUUGCCACUUCAAUUAAUGUUUUCAUAAAAUAAAUAAUUAAUUAACAUUAGCAAUUUUUAUAAAAUAAGGUAAAGGUGAUUGAAAGGAAACAGUAUUAUUAAUCCAAUUCCAGAGCUUAGUUAUAGUUCAGAAUCCUGGACUGAAGAUUCACUACAUGUAUUAUUUCAAACAGUGAUUGAAAGGAAACAGUGAUUCAUAUUGUAAUACCUGUGAAUGUAAAAUGGCAUGAGGCGGUGAAAGAGUUUAUAAGCAAAGGAAUAUGUUGGAAACAGAGGAAACACAUGCACGUGUAAAACAGAGAGAGAGAAGCUGCCAACUUACCCGAUCUUGACCCGCCGGAUCCGACCCGACCCGCGACUUUAACCCGGACGGAUUUCACGUUUCCGACCACUGUUUUGGCCGAGCUUGGUACCGAUCUGAAGCUUAGAAGCCGACCGUCGUUCCCCUGCCAUCCUCACUGCCGAAAACGAACCGGAACGCCGGCGAUCGAAGCUUGAAACCCGCGACUGCUUCACUUUACUCCGCCGAGAUUUUCGCCGGUUUUGAGUGACACCACCGGUUGGAUUUUGUUCCUCAUGACUCCCUCUUCCAUUUCCGACCAUUCAUAGGCACCGAGAGUCGUCGUUUUGCUGCCGGUCGAUUGUUGGAACUCACGGCUGUCGAGCUAGAUUCCGGCGUCGUUGCCGCGCGUUGGAGCUCACCGCCGGUACCAUUGAACUCAGCGUGAUUGACACUUUAAGAUUCGAGCUUCCUGGCCAGCGUUGACCAAAUUCCGGUGACCGUUGACCGGCAAGGGCAUUUUGGUAAUUUCACACUAUGAGGGCAAUUUUGUCAUUUCUGAGCCUGUGGAUAUUUUAGUAAUUCAUAGAAUUGUGAAUUGGGUGUAAUUACGAUUUCGAGGAUAAUUCGGUGAUUUAUGAUUUCGGAGCAUGUUAAUGAUUUACGGACUCAAGGGCAUUUUAGUAAUUUUAUCGUCACGGGAGUUGUUAAUUAUGGAUAAAUGUUCGUUUCGAGUUAUUGCAUAUAUUUAGUCGGAAUUCCGAUUUACGGAGAAUAAUUAUGUCGUUUCCUUGAUUUAGGAGGAUCCGCGAGCGAGAACCGGUCCGCGGACGUAGACGAUAACCGACUGUGAACACCGUCACUGUGAGUGGAAUAUACGAAACUUAUUUUUAGAGUUAAUUAUGAUAGUAAAGCAUGGUUGCGGAAUAAGUAUUUUU
rnacentral:lncRNA from 1 species